rnacentral:lncRNA from 1 species
AUUUUUCUUAUUUUUACCAUUGUCAUUCUGUUUUCGCUGAGCUUCUGGUGAGCUUUGAUCAGCGGGAGUUCCUUUAUCUUCACCCUGUUGAUUAGCUGCUGAAGAAGGUUGAGCUGCUGUGCCUUCCGGUAGAUGCUGACUUUCUAAGGUGUUGUCAAAAGAAACACCAUGAUCAUCCGAGAUGCUAUAAGGUGUUGUGUCAGCAUCCUUCUUCUGUGAUGGUUGUUGAGGAUUUCUUCCAUUAUCUUCGUACUCAUAAAAAGAAGCAUGACAAAGAAGUUCAUCCAAGAUCUGUGCAGCCCAUACGUGCUUCUCUUUUUUCUGCCGUACCUUCUUUACGGCCUUAAAUCCUUAGUACCAUCAGAUAUAACAACCUUUGAGAAAAUUGAAGUCCUGCAUACUAGACAAUUGAAGUCUAAAGGAUUGGUGUAAAGGAUGGUAUGGAAAGGCUUACCAAAUCCGAGAAUUACUAAUAUUGCCUUGAAUACAAACUUGAUUAUAUUAAAGCAAGUGUGGUAAUUGGAGGGAAUCAGUUGAUGCCCUUGUGACUGCAGUUCUCCUUUCGCCUUCAUGUUUGAUUGGUUUCCUGCACAAAAUAAUUGGAAAAUUCUAUUUGAAUUGUCACAACACAAAAAUUAAAAAGGAAACAUAGAGAUCAUUACAAUCAACCUAUAAUGUGCAGAAACUUAGGCUAUUUUACUAGCGGAAACCAACCCGAAUGGUUCUUUCAGAGAUCUUGUAAUUGUUUUUUAUAUAAAAAAAUGACGCAUUCAAAAGAUAUAGCCCAAAACAAAUUUUACAAACGUGUUGCUGAACAUGUUCCUUCAUUAUUUUCACUUUUCAUGUUUCUGGAAAUGGAAGACAGUAGUAUGCACUUCCUCUAGGAGAUUGGUCCUUUACAUAGCAAAAUUGGAUACAACCAUGUGAGAGCUAGCAGAAAAAUCUAUCCCUUUUUUUGUUGCAUGUUGGCUCAUUUUAAUGUCUCAAAAUAUUCUUUUUCUGAUCUUACAAAGGUUCUGAAGUGACAUUUAAUUUCAAUGUAGGCUGCCCCCCAUGCACAAGACAAUGCUCCAUAAGCUGCUCUGAGUAUACUGUGAUAAUGCAUAUAAGAAUAGCUCAUGCUUUUUUUCUGAAGCCCAUUAAACAUAGAUGCCAGAUAAAGAAGAUGAUUGCUAACCACUGGGAUCCUCCAGAUCAGCUUGCCCACCAGUUCUUGGAUCUUUUCCGGUAUUAGCUGAAAAUGGGAAGUAGCUUAAUGACUACUUUUAGCAUAUAGGGAAGUCGUAACAGAACAUUCAAAAAGCAAGGCAUCAGCUUAAUGCUGCCAAUUCACAGAUCCAUGGAUAUCACCAUGCAAAUAAGCCUAUUGCUAAAGAGUAUUACUACAUGUACAGAGGCUNNNNNNNNNNNNNNNNNNNNNNNNNNNNNNNNNNNNNNNNNNNNNNNNNNNNNNNNNNNNNNNNNNNNNNNNNNNNNNNNNNNNNNNNNNNNNNNNNNNNNNNNNNNNNNNNNNNNNNNNNNNNNNNNNNNNNNNNNNNNNNNNNNNNNNNNNNNNNNNNNNNNNNNNNNNNNNNNNNNNNNNNNNNNNNNNNNNNNNNNNNNNNNNNNNNNNNNNNNNNNNNNNNNNNNNNNNNNNNNNNNNNNNNNNNNNNNNNNNNNNNNNNNNNNNNNNNNNNNNNNNNNNNNNNNNNNNNNNNNNNNNNNNNNNNNNNNNNNNNNNNNNNNNNNNNNNNNNNNNNNNNNNNNNNNNNNNNNNNNNNNNNNNNNNNNNNNNNNNNNNNNNNNNNNNNNNNNNNNNNNNNNNNNNNNNNNNNNNNNNNNNNNNNNNNNNNNNNNNNNNNNNNNNNNNNNNNNNNNNNNNNNNNNNNNNNNNNNNNNNNNNNNNNNNNNNNNNNNNNNNNNNNNNNNNNNNNNNNNNNNNNNNNNNNNNNNNNNNNNNNNNNNNNNNNNNNNNNNNNNNNNNNNNNNNNNNNNNNNNNNNNNNNNNNNNNNNNNNNNNNNNNNNNNNNNNNNNNNNNNNNNNNNNNNNNNNNNNNNNNNNNNNNNNNNNNNNNNNNNNNNNNNNNNNNNNNNNNNNNNNNNNNNNNNNNNNNNNNNNNNGUGUCCCCUGAUUUUGUGAUUUUGGCCAUGUGAACUUCUUCAUUUUCCUUAUAUAUGUUCACAACUUCAUCCCAUUUACCCUGCAUGGCACUUCUGAACAGUUUCUUUUUAAUCACCUCCAUAUUUUGUCUUGUCUCCCGAGUAGAAGCCAUUUUUCCUGUCUUCUUCUUAAAUGUAAACUACUUCUGGGAACUUAAUUUGGAUGGAAAAGAAUGGGGUAAGGAUGAUGAUAUUUAUGCUGUUUAGUAAAGUAUGUUUGGAUUAUAAAAUUCAAAAGAAGUUAGCACGGUAGGACUGAGAUAAUAGGAUUUCUACUUUAUCUUGCAUCGAAAUGGCUAAAGAACAUAUGAUGAAAUAUUCCUAACUGCUAAACCAAGAAACCUUUCUGCUUUAGCCACAAUCCUCUUGAUGUGUCACCCUCAUUUAAAUACAAAAGUCUGCAGUUCACAACCUUUUUUUUUUUUUUACUAUUAAUUGCAUGUUGUUUUUACUCUCCUCUCUCUCUCUCUCCCACAUAUAAAUACAAAAGUAUGCGGUUCACAACCUUUUUUUUUUUACUAUUAAUUGCAUAUUGUUUUUACUCUCUCUCUCCCUCUCUCUCCACACACACACACACACACACAAGUCUAUUAAUUACAUAUUGACCCUUUUUUUACUAUUAAUUGCAUAUUGUUUUUACUCUCUCUCUCUCCACACACACAAGUCUAUUAAUUGCAUAUUGACCUUUUUUUUUACUAUUAAUUGCAUAUUGUUUUUACUCUCUCUCUCCACACACACACACAAGUCUAUUAAUUGCAUAUUGACCUUUUUUUUUACUAUUAAUUGCAUAUUGUUUUUACUCUCUCUCUCUCUCUCUCACCACCCACACACACACACAAAAGUCUAUUAAUUGCAUAUUGUUUUUACUCUCACACACCAACAUUUAAAUACAGAUAAUUGCAUAUUGUUUUUACUCUCUCUCACCCACAUUUAAAUACAAAUGUCUGCAGUUCACAACCUUUUUUUUUACUAUUGCAUUUUAUUUUUUUAACUCGUAUUACUUUUUAGAUUUAGAGCUAGCUAAGAUUUUUACGUACAUUAUUUUUUAUAUUCAUGCACUUGAUUGAUUUUCCCCUUUUAAUUAAACUCAUAAUAUUUCAAAUUUAUUUUCUUCAACAUCAUGACUGCGUGGCCUUUUUCUUUUCCAAAAUGCAUCCUUAUCUCAUUUAAAGUAAGAUAAGAGAAAUAAAAAGAAAGUGAAUGCAACAGAAGCUUUGCAAUGCACAUAGUCAAAAGCAAAUGUCUGGUGCAAUUAAUAAAAUGGUGGAAUAUGUGAAUGGGAAGCAGGGCUUUAGAUUGGCUACCUUUCUUUUCUUUUGAUUUUAUCACCUUCCCUCCCUUUUUCUGGUCAAAGAAAGGGCAGUGUCAUAUUCUUAGACUUGAUUUACAUGAUCUGUUGAAUAUAUAAAUAUUUAUACCUACCUGCACACCAUAGUGAUAGAUAAAGAUAUGACCAUAUCACCAUGCAACUUGGGGGAAUUGGUAAAGUUGAUUAUUAACGCAAGCCCAAUCUUAUUGAAGAAACAAUCAAAUUCAAUUUAAAUUCAACCCAAACUCUAAUAUGAGGUACUCGACCCUAGUCUAACCCAACCUCAUUUUUCUAAAUUCGGUUUAAAUUCGAGUUAGUCAAGUUAAACUCAGAUUGAUCGAGUUAAAUUCAAAUUGGUUGUGUUGAUUAGGUUAUAAGAUUCAAAAUACAUUCAUAGUGGUGUAAAAAAAAAAUCUAUAUAUUUAUAUCAAAAUUUAAAAAUAUAAAUAAUAUAAAAUUUUAAUAUAAUAAUAAAAUAGUAAAAAUAAACUUAUAUAUUUUUUAUUAAAAAUGUAAAAGCACAUAAUAUAAGUAUAAUUUGAUUUUUUUUUUCUUUAAAAUCUAAAAGAAAAAUGAAUAUUAUCAUAUAAGAUAAUAAAAUUAUAAAUAUUAUAAAAAUAUUAAAUCAAAUUCGAGUUAAACUCGAUUUGUUUGAAUAUUGACUCAAACUCAAUCCAAAUUGAGUUUCAAUUGUAAAAACUUAACUCAAUUUCAAUUCGAAUAAUAAAAAUGUUUAUCCAAAUCCAUCCAAGCAUCAGGUCCGACUCAAGUUGGGUAUCAAGUUGGGUUGGGUUAACACUUUGAAAUUGCACACCUAGCUAUGGAGCAAAGAAAACAAACCACAACAAAUAUUGAGAUAUAGGACAAAGGAAAAAAACAACUAGCAACAAAUUUGGAAGUUUAUCUAUCCCCAAAAUACUAAAAACCUCAAUAGCCACACCCAUUAGGGCAUUCCUCAUGAACAUUAACUUAUGGUUCUGAGUCCUCCACGACCUCAAGCUUGACAGGAGCAAUACCAGGCUCAUCAACAAUGGCGUCCAGGUCUCCAGUCUCCCCUUCCAAAUGAGCCAUCAGCAUGGCCACGACAAUCCCACCUACACACUCCAUCAUCGAUGUUUUAUCACCCUUCCCACUCUUGCACAUGGAACCCAUAAUCGCCCCAAUGGAUGUUCCAAUGCAAUUGGUGCAAUAAUCAUCAUCUAACAUGUCCAUGUGACCAUAAUCUGGAAUAACAAAGCCAAGGCAAUUAUCCUUGCACUCGUUGAAAAACUCCGCGUAGUUGAGCCCAUCAGGAGCACAAGAACAUGGUAUGCAGCCGAUGACAGACUCGCCCCCAAGACCCGUACCGAUUACCAUAACCGGGAUAUCCAGAUUGAAGGAAUGAGGGACACCAGUUAGGAUCUUUGGACACAUUUUCAUGCAUUUAUUUGCCCCAGCAACCGGGUCUAUACCUAUUAGGGUUAAGAACUUGAGAUUCAUGGAUACGUUGGCAUUCCCCAGUGCAAGAGCAAAUGCUAGAUAACCCCCUCUGCUAUGGCCCGCAAGGGCGAGCCUGCUUAGGUCUGGAACAACAUUUUCUGGGAGCACAGGUUGAAGGCCUGAGCUUAACCAGUUGGCGACUUCCGCUGCAGAGUUGAUAUCCGGUCGGCCGUACAAAGAACAUAGGCUGAGUAACUAGACAAACCAUCAACCAUUGCAUAAUAUUAGUUGAUUUUGAAAGAAUGUAAAAAUAAAAAUAAAAAAAAUAAGGGAAAAGGGAGUUGGACAGAUACCCUAGGAGCCACAACAAUAUAUCCAUGAGAAGAAAUAUGCUCAAGGAGGUUCGUAUAGCAGCAGGGGCAGAUGUUGUAGCCAUGAAGAAACAGGAGAACUGGGUAUGUUCCUUCAGUGUCUGGUGUUACAAUAAACAAUGUCUUUGGAGCGUUACAAGUUGUUAUGGGUUUCGCUGUGUACUUUCCUCGCUUAAAAGCAUCUGUUGCUGCCGCCGGUGCAGGCCUAGCUUCUAACGCUGCCAUUUCUCUCCCUCUCCCUCUCUCUCGGCAUGUUGAAACACACAGGCGGUCUUAUCCUAUAAUGGGUGGAGGAUCGGCGUUCACCCCCCACAUGGUGAUCCAGUGCCAUAUUUUUCUAUUCUAAAUAAUAAAAAAUAUGUUGAUCGAUAAUAAAGGGUUUUGUCAAAAAUAUACUGAUUCUAAAUACUUAAAAUAGUCAAAAAUAGAUUAUUCUUCAAACAAUAACAUAGAAAAUGUCAAAUUCAAAUGAGAAUUAUUUCAUCCCUUUUAACCAAUUAAUUCUAAUAAAAAAACACGUUUAAACUCCAAUCACCCGAUAUUUCCUUCAUACGCAGCCUUGCGACAUGAGUUUGAAGAAAUAUGCAAUAGAGCUUCAAACUAUAAGAAGUGUAAAACUUAGAACACGCAAAAUAUGUAGUGUUUGUGCUGCAUUCAAUCUGCAUAAUUAAUGGGAUUCAGCAAAACCCCAUUAGUUAUUCUUAUACCUUUAUCUCCAUCUCCAUUUAUAUUUUUUUGAGGUUUUAGCUCAAACUCUUAUGAUUUAACUAAUGUUUGGUUGGCAAAAAAUUUGAGGAAAAAUGUAAAAGAAAAAAAAUAAAGAUAAAAAGUAUUAAAAAAAAUUAAAAAAGUAGAUUUAAAGUCAUAAAUUUUUUUUUAAGUGUUACUUUAAACCCAUUUAACUUACUUUUCCACUUCUACAUGAAGAUAAAAUAAUUUUAAAGUGAAUAAAAUUUUAAUUAAUUUUAAAUAUAUUUUAAUUUAUUUCAUAUUUUUUCAUAAUAAAACUAAACAUAAAAAAAUUAUUUUCAUAGGUAUUUUUUUUCUUUGCUUUGUACUAUUAAGAACUAAACACACCCUCAAUGAACUUGGGGGAAUAUUCUUGGCUAAAAUGUCACCUUAAACUUUAUUUUUAAAAACAUAGCAUCUAUAUUUCAAUUAAAGAUUAAUCUUUGAAAUGGUCCCCACCCAAAAAAAAAAAAACUUUAUUUUUAAAAACAUAGCAUCUAUAUUUCAAUUAAAGAUUAACCUUUGAAAUGGUCCCCCCCACCCCCAAACAAAACUCAGGAAAGUGACCCAAGCCAAGAAUGACAAAUUUUAAUAAAGACAGUUUGGCUGCACUUUGCAAUGAGCUAGGACAGAGUAUUAUUGAUUUUCAUGCAACGAUUCCUAGUGAAAAAAUUAGAGGGGAAAAAAAAAGAUAGAUUUAAAGUGGUUCGAUAGAUUGCCUACGUCCACAGGAAUAGGAAAGAAGACUUUCACUAUAUCUGAAUUAGGGUUACAUAUAUAAAGGGGUAUUUAUACUAACUCUCAAGUAUUGAAAUUUCAAAAAUACUCUUGAACCGUACCAUGAGGGUAUUUGCCCAUUUUUCUCCAUAUGUUUUUCACUCAAUAUGAGUCACAUACUACAAGUAUCUUGGGUUUCAUCUUCAAUGGGUGUGUCCUUUUCUUUCUUUGAACAGAAAGAAUAACAAUAGGUAUAGACAAAAGAAUAUUGCAUGGACGAUAUGGAUCGAUCCUUUCAUAUUUGCAUUCUCUGAUUUCUCUUUCAAAUAUUUUUGCACCUAUAUAUUGGUUAAGCUUCAAGGGGACACAAAGGAUUUGGGUGUCAUUCUCAAAAGAAUUAACAUUUCUUGUCUCUCAUAAAAUUUGUGCUAAAUCCAAGUAAUCAUCUUGGAUUCAAAAAUAAUGGUUAGUUUCUAAGUGAUGUUAGACUCAUAAUGCGAUAAGGAAAGGUUUAGUAAGAGUAGGUUUAAAAGCUUCGAGGGGUUAGCACCUCCCAAUACAACCCUGAGAUGAGAUGAUAAAUAAGUUUGAUGGAUGUCUUACUUUUCAUGGAGCAAGUGUUUAAAUACAAAAAAAUACUCACACAAAUGACCACUAAAAUAGAAACAAACCGACUACGUAAAUGAAUGACCCAUAUCUCAUGCAACUCACUAGCAACUAAAGACUAGGACAAAUAGUUAAAAUGUAAUCAAUGCAUAUCUUCAUCUAUUUAAUUAAUAAAAUAAAAGUUAUAAAAAAAUACUUAAUACAUAUUCUUAAGCCAAAGAGCGGGUUGUCUUUUAUCAUAGACUAACUUACUCUUCGACCAUCCUAAAGCAUUUCGUCUUGAUCAUUUGACCAUCCAUCAAGUGAAACGGUUCCUCACUAAAGAAAACCAAAGUUCCACUCCAAUCAAGGAAAGAGAUAAAUCACAUCUUGGCCAAAUGUCAAUCCUCCUAGUUUGACUAUAUGAUGAAGUUACUUAAUAUAUAUAUAUUAUGUUUUUCAUCGAUUAUUAAUUUAUAUUUUUUUGGGGCCUUCAAAUAUUUUUGAAAAUAUUAUUAUUUUAUGUAUUUAGUGAGUUAUUAACUUAGUAUACUAGUCCAAGUUGGAAUCGAAAAAAUUCAUUAUUUAAAUGAAAUUAUUAAUUUAUGAAGGUUUUACUGUAAUGUUUCAAUCGUACAUAUAGGGAGCAAAGGUUUCACAUUGUUAUGGUUUAUUUGGUUGACUACAAAUAACUCAUCAAUAGAGAGAAUUACCCCCCUAAAGAAAAAUAGUUCUUAGUCUUUUACAAAUCUUUGCUUAUGUCAUUAAUUUGGUAAAUUCUCAUCUCAUCUAUAGAAAAUAUUGUUAAUAAAACAAGCUCAUAGUAUUAUAGCCAAUGAUGAAAAUAUCGGUAAUCACGGAUAUAUCGGUACUUCAAUUUUACGGAUAUAUCGGAGAUAUAUCGACGGAUAUUCUAGAAAAAAAUAUCGAUAGGCUUAAAAUUAUUAAAAACUCAUAGAAAUAUAAGGAAAACCUCAUAAUAAUAUAAUUAAAAGUAUAAUGAACAUUUUAAAGUUGUUUUAUUGAAAAAUUUGAUAUACAUAUGAUAUAAUUUACAAUAUUAUAUGUAAUUAUAUCACGUCGAUCUAUAAGAAAUGUUAAUUUUGUAAUUGUUCUCAUUAUAAAGUCACAUAAAAUACUUUAUUUCAUUAAAUAUCAAUAAUUUGUACACAUUAAAUUCAUUAAAUAAACAUAUUUCAUAUUCAAAAUAUACUAGUUCAUGUUAAUUAAAUUAAUUAAAUAAUUUAGCAUGUUAAUUAAAUUAAUUAAAUAAUUUAGCUAAGUUAACUAGUUUAAUUUAAUUCUAAAUGUGAAAAUAAAUCACAAAUAAUCAUCUAAAAUAAACAUAUCAAUUUAUAAUUAAAUAAUCAAAUUAACCUAAGUUAAUUAAAUAAAAAUAUAAAAAAAUAAUUACAAUUGAAUGUAAAAAUAGCAUUAAAUCAUCCAUAUUGCAAACAUACUAAUUAAUUGAAAAUACAUGAAUUAAUUACAAUUGCAAACAAAAUUAAUUACAAUUUAAAACAAAUAUACCUUAAAAUGAUUAAAUAAUUGAGCAACCUUAAUAAAAAUUGGAGUAAUGAAAGAGAAAAUGAAGAAAGAAAGCAAAAAAUGGAUGAAAUAGAUGAAAUUUGGGUUAUUUAUAGAAGAAAUUUGGGUCAAAAUAGCCGUUAGAACAUUAAUUUUCCGUUGAAAAUCAAUUUUGGCCGUUGGAUCAAAAAUUGGGAGCAAUUUGGCUGUUGGAUCGUCAUAUUACCAUUGGAAUCACAUUUAGGUAGUUGAAUCGCCAUAUUACCAUUGGAAUCACAUUUAGGCAGUCGGAUCAACACAGGCGUAAUCUGGGUCGUCAGAUCACGUUGCAUAAAGGAGGGGAAAUAUCGUCAAAAUAUCGGCGAUAUAUCGAAGAUAAAUCGCCGAUAUUUUGCCACCAGAGGCGAUUUUUUCAAAAAAUCUCCGAUAUAUCUCCCCGAGCCGAUAUAUCGCCGAUAUUUUGGGAAUAUUUGCAUAAAUAUCUCUCCUCCGAUUUUUCUCCACGAAAUAUCGUGUCGACCCCUCCCGAUACACGAUAUAUCGCCGAUAUAUCCUGACAUUUUCCUCCUUGAUUAUAGCAUAAGAUUGUACUUCUACAUGGUAGCAUACUAUUAUUGUCGACAAUUACACUUUAGUCCAUUAAUUUUGAAAAAUUAUACCAACACCCCAUGACCAGCCUGAUAAGAGCAAGACCACCCUUUUGACCAACUAUGACCAUUGACGUAUAUAUAGGUUGAUUGUUAAUUGCCUCCAUUGAAAAUUUAAUGAAAAUCCUUAAAAAACCCUCCAUUACCUUAUUUAAUAUAAAAUGCCUAAAAUACCCCUUAAACCUUAUAUUACAUACCUUACCAUCAAACUAAUAAAAUUUUAUUCCAAAAGAAUUGAAAUUAAAAUUUUGACAAAUAUAAUGAUUAAAUGAAGUUAAUAUUUGGACAAAUAUUAUGAACGUCUUCCUCGAUUCCUCUCCUAUAACAAAAGAAAAAGGAUGUUUGUAGUCAUCUAACUAGCAAACCUAUUUCCAACAUUACCCCACCAACGACAAUUUUCACCAACACACAACUUUAGUGUAUAAAUUUUGAUGGCCCAUAGCCUUAUAAGCUAGAGGAAUUAAUGAAUAAAGGAAAGCCCCAUAUGAAUGUUGACGACCAUUGUGCAUCUUCCCCAUCAACUCAUCAUCAAGUGAAUUUCAAAUGUCAAAGUUUAGUGCUCGGCAAAUUAGGUCCUACUUGAUAACCAUCUUUUAAAAUAGUUUCCUAUUUCUCCAAAAAAAAAUGAAAAAAAUAUAUUUAACAACCAAAAAAACAGGAAACAAUUUUUUUAUUUCUAAAAACAUAAAACAAUUUUCUAUUUCUAAAAUCAGAAAAUAUAAUAUUUUAAAAUAAUACAUUUUAAUUGUUUUAAGUUAUUUUUUCUUUUUUCUUUUUUUAAGAUUUUUUAAAAAUAAUUAUAUAAAUAUAAAGAAUAACUCAAAAUAAAGUAUUAUGGAUAAAACAUAUUUUUAAAAACAAAGAAAAUUAACAAGUUUAAAAUAUUUCAAGAUUUCAAAUAAAAUUUUGAUUUACAAAAUAUGAUAAAAUUAUUUUUCUAAACCGUUUCCAAAAAUACUCCUCAAACAUAGUCUUUCCACACGCCUUCAUAUGUUAUUUGCUCCCAAAGGUAUAUAUACCAAGUACUAGAAUAAUGCAAAUUCCAAUUAAUCAAUGGUGCUUUAGCUGAGUUGGAUGGCAGUGUACUGCCAAGUGAAACCUCCAAAAGUAUUGAUCACAGUACUGAAAGCCAAGAAUCAUUGUACUGCAUUUUUAUUAUCAAUUAAGCAUUGCCAUGUAAGAGAAAAAACAAACAUAAUAAUUGGAAACAAUUAAUGAUCAUCUAUUAAGACCCCAUCAAAAAUGACCCUGGUCUCGAUGUUCUUAUAAUAUGGAACACCUCAUCCCCCAUUCUUAGUCUAACACAAAUGAUGGGUCUUGAGAAUAUUAGAGGUCAUUAGCAAUACAACACAGUUUCGUUUAUUUGAAUCUUUGUUCCCAAAGACGAACCGAAAAAAAAAAAAAAAAAAUCUGCUGUCACACUCCUUAUAGCAUUACAAAGAAUCCAUGAUUUCAUGCUUCUAUGAACUCAACAGGAUCAAGCUUCACAGGAGCCAGAUCAGGUUCGUCAACAAUGGCUUUGAAAUCUCCACUCUGACCUUCCAAAUAAGCCUUCAAGAAUGCAACAAAAAGGCCACCCACACAUCUCCUCAUGGGGUCCCUAGGACCCUUCCCACUCUUGCAGAUAUAACCCGAAAUCGCCCCAAUGCAGCCUGAAAGAUGAUCAUCUAACAUGUCCAAGUGACCAUAUUCAGUAGUCACAAAGUGGGAACAAGGAGGUUUACACUCACUGAAAAACUCUACAUGGUUCACUCCAUCUGGGGCACAUGGACAUGUUAGGCAGUUCCUUGGCUCAUCGCCCAACCCCGUGCCGAUUACGCAAACUGGGAUUGCUAGAUUGAAGGAAUGAGGAACAUAGGUUAGGAUUUUGGGAACUGUUUGGCAACAUUUACUCAACCCACCAACAGGGUCUAGUCCUAGUAGGGCUGAGAAGUUGAGGGAUGUAUCAGCAUACCCUAGUGCCAGAGCAAAUGCUGUCUUUCCCCCUCUGCUGUGGCCUGAAAGAGCAAGCUUGAGUAGGUCUGGUUUCACAUUUUCUGGGAGCACAGAUUGAAGGCCUGAGGAUAGCCAAUUUGUGACUGCUGCUGCUGAUUUGAUCUCUUGAAUUCCAGAAGGAGGUAAUAGUCCGUAUAACUAUAUAGAAAACCAUUUCACAGUACUGCAUGUCAGAGAUUGGAGAUUAAUAGAAAAUGUGUUUGUGCAUGCGGUUAUUAAUUGAAAGUUCUCCCAAAAGCCUUGCAAUCUUUCGGAUGAACUUGAUUAAAAAUAUUAAAUCAAGUUCGGGUUGGGUUCAAUUUCCUAAACUUUGGUCCAGAAUAGUUCAAAUUGAGUUCAAGAUUGAAAAACCCUAAUAUAAGAUCAACCUAGAUGUCAAAAUGAUUACCAAAGCUCAUCUAAACAUUGGGUUAGGUUGGAUUUCUUUCGGGUCAACCUGUUAAACAGGUUGCACCUCUAUUAUUAUGUCAAUAUAUAAAUAUAUUGAACUAAUUUGGAUUGCAAUACUUCAAUUACAAAGAUCAUUACCUUUAAUUUUAUAAUUAUAUAUGGAGAUGACAAUAUGACAGGUUUUUUUUAGUACCAAUCUCACCACCCCCUUAGUGGAACAUGUUUAAAAUUUAAAUAAAUGGAUUUGAGAUAGAUUUAGAAUUUUUUUAAAACCCGAGACAAGCUCAAAAUGGAUUUAGGUAUUGUCUAAUCUUAUCUCGUUCCAUCACAUUCAAAAUAAAAUAAGUUAUAAAAAAUUAUAUUAUUUUUAUUAUUUAUAAAAUAUAUUUAUUUUAAUAUAAUUAAAAUAAAUAAUUUUUUUCAAAAAAAAGUUAAAUAGUUGGGCAAGGCGAGUAUGGUAAAUUCGUAUGUACACCCUACCCGUUUAACUUUUUUAAUAGGAUGGAGAUGGAAACUAUUUUGGAUAAACAUAACUCAGCCUGAACCUGAAACCAUCCUCUUAUAAUCUCCAACUAUAUAUUAAGUACAAUUAAAUGGGAAACGAGUAGAAGAAGAAAAAGAAAAAUAGGGGGAGUAGGAUAGUUAACAGGGAAGAGAGGUUGAGAAAGCACCUGAGGAGCCACCACUAUGAAUCCAUGGGAAGAAAUGAGUUGAAGGAGCUGAGUGUAGAAAGUGUUGCGGAGCUCGAAGCCAUGAAGAAACAAGAGAACUGGGUAUGUCCCUUGAAUGGUUGGUGUAACAAUCAACAAUGGCUUGGGAGGGGAAGCGAUGUUUGAAGUCUCCACUCGAAUGCAACUCACGCUCAAAUUUCCUGGCUCAAAAACACUGGUUGUUGUCUUCAAAUCAAGCUUGAUUCCCUGCGUUGAAGGAUUACCUCCUAAUAGUGCCAUUGCCCCCUUUUAGAGUGUGUGGAAAUCAAGGUAUAGAUCUCUCAUUUUAUAAUUGGAGAGAAUGAUGAAUUGCAGCCAUUGGGCAGCUAUGCAGCUGGGCCCUAGAGGAAGAGUCCCCGACUCCAAAUAAUUGUAGCAGCCUUCUAGUCAAUCAAUACUAGUCAAGUAACCAACUAACAAAAAGAUAUUUCAAACAAAUUUCAUUUAACUAUUAGACUUAAAACUUAAAUAAUUCAAAAAUACAUAAAUUUUUAACUAAUUUUAAUUAUAUUUUAUUUUAUUUCAUAUUUUUUAUAAUACAAUUAAAUAUAAGAAAUUCAUUUUUCUUAAUUUUUUUUUUUUAGUAUUUUAAGGUCUGGUAAAAAAAAUUUAAAGGCUAACUAAAAUAAUUUUAAAAACUAUUUUUAAAUUUUCAAAUAGGGGUUUGUUUUAUAAAAUAUAAAAAAAAAAACAAUUACGACAACAAAACCUAAUAGGAUACAACCCCACUUGCUUUUCUCACGAUUUUAGCAAGACGAAGAAAACAAAAUGAUCAGUGGUUGAAUCUUUGUCCGUACAUGGCUGCUUUAUCAUCAGCCGCCCUAUGGUUUGUAGUGAUAAAUUGAUAACAUGCGGUUUGUGUACACGGCUUUAGCAAGAAAAAGGAGGAAAAUUCCACGUGGAAGCUCAUUUUUAGCCAGAAAGUCAAGCGACGAGGUUGCCUCCAUUAAUUGUCGCCCUCGCGUUUGGUAUUUCAAGAUUAGGUACGGAUGAUCUUAUCCAACGAUUCCAACCCUCCUCCCUUUAUUUAAAAUAAUUUUUAUUCAUAUUUAAUCGAAAAAAUUAAAUAGUACCCAUCCUUUAACUUUUUUCUGAAAAUUUUUUAAAUUUUUUCAAAAAAAUUUAUUUUUAAAAUUUUUUAAUUACAUUAAAAUAAUUAAAAUAUUAUAAAUUUUUAUUAUUUUUUUAUUGAAAAGCACUUAUUAUUAUUAUUAUUAUUAUAUUAUAUUAAAAAUAAGAAAAUACAAAUUAAAUUAAAUUAAUUUUUAAAAUCAAUUAUUUGUCAUCCCUGUUAAGCUCAAUAUGGAGUUGAUGAGUGUACUUAAUUGUAUACCAUAUUGUGGACCCCGUAUUUCGAUUCAUGCAUUUCCCACUCGAUGGCGAGGUCGAUUUUUUGUUCAUGAGCUAAUCUCACAAAUCCCGUGUUUUUGAAUUACGAAUGAAUCACUAUUGCUUAUGUAAAAUCAAGAAGAUAAGAAGAUUAUUUAGGAACUGAAAUGUGAUUAAAAACUAUUCGAGUGAAAACUGGAUUAUCGGAGCUUAUUUGAAAAUUGGAGUAUUUGGAAUUAAAUUUUGAAGAUUAGAGCUCCGGUGAUUAAAUCGAAAUUUGUUAAAGAAAAUGAGAAACGGACUUUAGGAAAUUGAACUGCGAGACCAUAGACUUUUGAAAGUUGAAUUUAUAAUAAUGAUAGUAAUAAGGUCUUGAGAGUUUGAAUUAAUAAUAAUAAUAAUAAUAAGAUUUCGAAAGACUGAAUUAAUGAUAAUAAUAAUAAUAAUAAUAUUUUGAAAGUGUGAAUUAAUAAUAAUAAUAAUAAGAUUUUGAGGAUCGAAUUAAUAAUAAUAAUAAUAAUAGUAAUAAUAAUAAUAAGAUUUUAAAAGUUGAAUUAAUGAUAAUAAUAAUAAUAACAUUUUGAGAGUUGGGUUAAUAAUAAUAAUAGUAGAAUUUUGAAAGUUGAAUUAAUAAUAAUGAUAAUAAAAAGAUUUUGAAAGUGUGAAUUAAUAAUAAUAAUAAUGAGAUUUUGAGAGUUUAGAUUAAUGAUAAUAAUAAUAAUAAUAAUAAAUAGAUGUUGAAAGUGUGAAAUAAUAAUAAUGAUAAUAAUGAGAUUUUGAAAGUUGGGUUAAUCAUAAUAAUAGUAAUGAGAUUUUUGAAAGUUGGGUUAAUAAUAAUAAUAAUAGGACUUUGAAAGUUUGGAUUAAUGAUAAUAAUAAUAAUAAUAAAUAGAUGUUGAAAGUGUGAAUUAAUAAUAAUGAUAAUAAUGAGAUUUUGAAAGUGUGAAUUAAUAAUAAUAAUAAUGAGAUUUUGAGAGUUUAGAUUAAUGAUAAUAAUAAUAAUAAUAAUAAAUAGAUGUUGAAAGUGUGAAAUAAUAAUAAUGAUAAUAAUGAGAUUUUGAAAGUUGGGUUAAUCAUAAUAAUAGUAAUGAGAUUUUUGAAAGUUGGGUUAAUAAUAAUAAUAAUAGGACUUUGAAAGUUUGGAUUAAUGAUAAUAAUAAUAAUAAUAAAUAGAUGUUGAAAGUGUGAAUUAAUAAUAAUGAUAAUAAUGAGAUUUUGAAAGUUGGGUUAAUAAUAAUAAUAGUAAUGAGAUUUUUGAAAGUUGGGUUAAUAAUAAUAAUAAUAGGACUUUGAGAGUUUGGAUUAAUGAUAAUAAUAAUAAUAAUAAAUAGAUUUCGAAAGUUGAGGUAAUAAUAAUAAUAAUAAUGAGAUUUUUGAAAGUUUGGAUUAAUGAUGAUAAUAAUAAUAAUAAAUAGAUGUUGAUAGUGUGAAUUAAUAAUAAUGAUAAUAAUGAGAUUUUAGAAGUUGGGUUAGUAAUAAUAAUAGUAAUGAGAUUUUUGAAAGUUGGGUUAGUAAUAAUAAUAAUAGGAUUUUGAAAGUUUGGAUUAAUGAUAAUAAUAAUAAUAAUAAAUAGAUUUUGAAAGUUGAGGUAAUAAUAAUAAUAAUAAUGAGAUUUUUGAAAGUUUGGAUUAAUGAUGAUAAUAAUAAUAAUAAAUAGAUGUUGAAAGUGUGAAUUAAUAAUAAUGAUAAUAAUGAGAUUUUGAAAGUUGGGUUAGUAAUAAUAAUAGUAAUGAGAUUUUUGAAAGUUGGGUUAGUAAUAAUAAUAAUAGGAUUUUGAAAGUUUGGAUUAAUGAUAAUAAUAAUAAUAAUAAAUAGAUGUUGAAAGUGUGAAUUAAUAAUAAUGAUAAUAAUGAGAUUUUGAAAGUUUGGAUUAAUAAUAAUAAUAAUAAUGAUAAGAAUAAUAAUAAUGACAAGAAUGAUGAUAAUAACAAUAGUAAUAAUAGUAACAAUGAUAAUAAUAAUUAAUAAUAAUAAUAACAACAAUGAUAAUAAUAAUUAAUAAUAAUAAUAAUAAUAGUAACAAUAAUAAUAACAAUAAUAAUAAUAACAAUGAUAAUAAUAAACAACAAUAAUAAUAACAAUGAUAAUAAUAAACAAUAAUAAUAAUAAUAAUAAUAAUAACAGUAAUAAUGAUAAUAAUUAAUAAUAAUAAUAAUAAAUGAUAAUAUGCAUCCAUCAAGCCCAUAAGCCUAAACCCACUAAUAAGCCCCAUCUUCGUCAAACCCAAGUUCACCAAGUCCAUCAGCAACCUUAAUAAAGCCCAAACCUAAUCAAGCCCAAGUUCAUCAGCAACCCUCAAGCCCAAACCUAGUUAAGCCCAAAAAAACAAAACUUCAUCUUCUCCACAGCUCCUCCCGCCUGGAAAUCACCCUCCGAGGGAGCUCCUACCGCCGGCGGCACCAAGAGACGUUGCCGCCGUCGCCGACGACUGGCACGGCUGUCCACCUGGCCGGAGCGGGUCAAAACGCACCAUGCCUGCGUCAGAGAAGGAGCUGCUAGCGGUCCGAGGGUGUGAUUGCUGCCAGCUUGGUCGAUGGAGGGAGAAAUAGCGGCGACGGUCCGGCGACGUCUAGAAGACGCUACCGCUGUCGCUGAUGACCGGCGCAGCUGUCCACGCGGUCGGAGCAAUGGUAAAUUUGAGAUAAUAAGGUAAAACAGCUUUUCUUUAUCAAGGAAACCUAUUAAGGAUGAUGAAUAUGUUCCUCGUAUAAAUAUGUAUAUAGACACACACUUGGGAACCAUUUAUCACAAAGAAGUCUACUAUAUUUUACUUGAUAGUUUGAUCUGAUAAAUAUUUUGGACCACUUAGCCAUACAUCUUCUUGACUUGUGCAGUAACUUGAAGCUAAUUGAAUAUUUGAGUCUCCUUCAACAUAUCACAUACCUGGUACUUUAAUUAUCUUCCAGAAACUCAUACAAGUUCCAUAGUUGUCUGGAUACCAGGGUUUCUUGUCAUCAGAAGUUCUGUUGAAAUGAUUGUAGCCCUCAUUUUUCUCCAGCUUCUCGACAAUUAGACCUUUCAAAUUAAAUAACAACGUGACUAAACGUUUCAGCACAUUAAAGUUAAUACAAAUGCAAGAUUAGCACCAUUCUUAAUUUGUGGCAGCAGAAUCCUCCGUUUGGAUUAAAACAGAUUCUGACCAGCCACCAUUCAGCCCUCAUUAUCUUAACUUGGGAUGUCUUACAUUGAUAAAUGAUAUUGCUGAUCCAGCUGAGGUGAGUACCACUUUUGAAUGCACUGGGCUUACCAGCCAGGAGAUGCAGUGGAGUAAACCCUUCCUCAUCAACAGAACUAACAAAAUCUUCAUACAGAUAUAUUAUUUGGAAUGCUAAAUCUGUCAAGAACGACCACAAAAGAAUCAAAAUGCAUAUAAAUCAUGGAGCAAGUAAAAAUAUAAGACAUAGUAGCUGAAGCAAUGAUUUUAAUGAAAUAAGCCAUUUAUUAUGUGCUAAUGAACAUGUGCACAUGCAUAUGUGAAUGCAUCCCUCUAAUGCAGACCAAAACUUCCUGAAAAAAGCUUACCUAAGAAUUCUCCAAAUAUGGCACAGUGAAGAAUAGUUUUGCCAUCGGCCCUUCGACUGUACUCAUACUGUUUGGUCCUGUCACAUAUUUUGUGAAGGCAGAGGAAAGCAUCUUUCCUACCAUGAAGGACAGCUGAGAAGACGGGCGUUUCAUUUUCAUGGUUGCGGACACCAACCAGUUUCGGAUGCUUACCAGCCAAACACUUGCAUAUGGGAACAUUUCCCAUUGAUGCAGCUAAAUGGAGAGGGGUGUUCCCUUGCUCAUUUCUCAUCUCCAGAGCAUCCAGAUCUGUUUCUCUGAUCAACUCAACUAGUUCCUCAACUAUACUUUCUUUGCCUUCUGAAACCGCAACAUGCAAUGCAGUGUCUCCAGAUACAACGAUCUCAGCCUUGUGAGCCCUUGGCUGUUGCCUGCAUAUGUUGACAACUUCAUUCCAUUUGCCUUGCAUGGCAUAAUUGAACAAGUUUUUCUUAAUGGUAUGCAGAUCUGCAUCCUCAAUUGUAAAUUCCAUAGUGCUCUUGGAACAACUACUAGAUAGUACUCCUAUUGGGAUGGUUAGAUAUAUAUGGGGAACCAGAAGAUUCUCUGAGAGGUUUAAGCGUAUGGCCUAAUAAAGCUCCAUACCUUGCUCCAGAUUUGGGAUAAGAACAAGCAUGUACCCCAGAGAAGAUAGACACAAUAAGAAAGCAUUAGAACUCAUGUAAAUGUUGGAUGCCUCUAGUCAACUUUUGUGUUACUUGCAUUACAAAGUAGUUAACAUUUGAAUUCUUUCUUUCGUGUUAGAGAAUUAUUUAAUGAAUUCUCCUCUAGAUUUUUCUUAAUUCUAUACUUGUGGGCAAACUAUUCUAUGCUAAAUAUUGUAAAAGGGCUUUGAUAUCACCCUUAUGAGAAAGUCACUUAUUUUAACUAAUUUUAUUUGAUUAAUUUUCUGGAGUCAAAAGGGAGAUCAGUUUUGUCAUGUAGAAUACAAGCAGAAGAAAAAAGACAAAAGUAAAAGGCAAAUGCACAAACAAGCAAAAAAAGAAUAUGACUUAUUGUCGAAGAUUCUGAAACACACCUACCUCUCAGUAAGCAUGAUUUUCAGUCCUCUUUGAACAAUCUGUCUUUAUGUUUGUGCUACAACAAAAUUCUAGUUAGUUUAUUUUCUUCUUUAGAAAUCCAGAUGAAAAUUUGAACUACCUGACUUAAUAUUAUGUGUAUUAUCAACAAAUUUGAGAAGAUAAUUUUUUUCCCCAAAAUAAAAUGGCCUUGCUUGCAUGUUGAAAGCAACUGAUUUUCCUUUUAUUUGCGAGUGUGAACUUAUAUAACACGAGUUAUUUCUUUGGUUCUUCUAACAAUAUCAGAAAUCUGAUAAAUAUUUGAAUUCAAGGAUUUAAUUUGAUUAAUAUUAUUUUUUAUCAUUUUUUUUUUAGUAACAAGAAAAGGAAAAAAACUAAGGUUAAUUUGAUGCUAUGUUGUGUGAGAAAAGAAAAAGAAGAGAAAAAGAAAGAAAAGUCUUGUGCUUCACAAUAAAUUUGGUCUUGCACAGCAAAAGCAAGCAUAUUUAAAGUGCCAUGUAAUAAAUGGUUUCUCUGCAAGGAAAAGGAGUGAGAGAAGCAAAAGAGAUUAUGUCUGACCAUUUAUAUAUAUAUAUAUAUAUGUUCAUGUGCUCAAAAAAAAAAAAAAUUAAAUAGAAAUUCAUUAUUCAAAACCAGACUCCAUCACCAUGAUUUAAACAAAAUAAUCACCCAAACUAAAUUGAUAUAAGAUGAUCAAAGUAUAUCGGAAUUGUGUGCAUGAUGCCGUUUUGCAUAUUUUGAGCUCAUACUGUUUUUGGAUGUGGACAAAAAUAAAAAUAGGAGCAUCCAAAUUUACUAGUUACUGUUAACUAGUAAGUUAAUGUAUUAAGCCUACAUUGACACAUGCAAUUCUUGCAUUACUAGCUAGUUCAGGGUUGUAAAUGUUGUAUGAUUAUUUAAGACUUCAUGGUCUUAGCCUUGAUCAUCCGAAUGUUUGCAAUAAGAUGACUUGACCAUUCCACAACACACCACCCUUUCCUGGGCUUCAACAGGGACUUAAGACACACCCAUCAGGGCUUAUUCCUAAGCCACCAAUUGUCAUAGUGGUAUUAUUGAAUACCUAAUGGAAUUGAUAGAUCAAUAAAAUCUAUCAGAAUUUUUGCAAUGAAUAAUUGUUUUACUAACAAGACAAAGGCAUGAGAUCCAGGCUAGAGAGUUUAUAAGCAAGAUAACCAAUUAACACAAGCCCCAAAAGGAGGGGAGAAAAACAACUGCAAUUAUUUACAUUUCAACCACUAACCAUAGAUAGUACGCUGUGGCACUUUCUUAAAGAUGGCCCAUAUGAGAUCAAAGUAGAAGGGAAACUGUGCCACCGCAAAAAAUGUUACUGGGAGGCACGCCACUGCAUACACGGGGAAUGCAGUUUGUUUCAGUACAUUUUUUAGUAGGAAAAAGUGCCCUGCACAGAAGCAAACCAACAUAGCUCCUAUGGAUAUAAAGAGAGAUGUUAAACCUAGCAAUAGCUUUCGCGGCAACCCUCUACCAAAAUCUUUCACUUGGUAUCUAGAUGUUAGAAUUGCCAGAAAAGUGACCACAGAGGUGACUGAAAAGGAUAGAGCAAUGAGGGAUGAAAUUGCAUAGACCAGAAAUCCCGGAUGGUGUUCAAGGGUAGGUUCGCUGCUAUUUUCCUUGAAGCCUCCUGGUAUAGUGGCUGUUGUGGCGAAGGCUACGGUUGUAACAAGUGUUGCUACUACUGAACAUGAAUUUGAGGUGUUGCUUAGCCAUUUGCCUCCUUCUCUUACAAGUUCUUUGUGUGAUUCUGUGAAGAUCUCCUUGGGGACCUGGUUCUUGUUGUUGUAGCGAAUGAAGAAAUGUCUUGGUACAGAAUUCUUCACGUACUGCGCUAUUAAACCCAUGUAUCAGGGCUAAUAUAUAAUAGUCUGCUUACCAAGUUAGAACUUUACGAUAUGCUUUCCAAAGAAUAAUGCUAAUUCAUAGAAAAUUAACAACCCCAUAUAGAGAUGUUCAUGAUUUUGUACAGUCGAGAAAGAAUUUUCCAUGAGGAGAACUAAUUCAAUUGUUGAUGCAUUAUCUUCUGAAAAAAAAAAAAAAACAACCAAAAAUACAUAAAUAAGUCUGGGUGGCAUACCUUAUACCAUUUGAUCUCCCAUUGCAUUUGCAAAGCUGCAAAGGGAUAUGGCCUAUAAUCUCCUAAAGUUGCUGCAAGAUGUAAUGCACUGUUCCCCUCACUAUCAACCAUACGAAAUGCACUUUCUUCCAGAGGUUUCCGAUUGAGUAAUAGCUCAUAAACACUGGUUUGUCUAUUCUUCACUGCCAACAGCACUAUAUUCUUCUGGUCUGAAUCUACAUGGCGAAUGGCUGCUGGAAAAAGUUUAAGGAUCUUCUCCACCAUUUCUAUGAUGCCAUUCUCUGCUGCAAUUAAUACUGGUGACUUCCUUUUUCCCAUCCCCCAAGUUCUCUUCAAUGCUGACAAGAUUCAAUAUCUCAAGGUUCAAUUCUUGAGCCAAAGUGGCCAAUGUUCUGCUGUUACAAUAAGUAUCUUUGUUUUUCUACUUCAAAUAUAUCUUCCUCUUCGUCAGUGAUACUGAAAGUAAAAGUUGGUAUUUUCUUUUUUUGGACGUCUGUGCAUUAGUAACUUGCUAAAUAUAUUGAUUACAUCACAAAUAUAUGAUAAUAGGUUUUUCAGUUCAAUCCACCAAUUGCAGGGGCAGUAGGUGAUUUAAGCAAGGGAAGUUAAGCUGUAUCUUUCAUAAUUAUAUACCUUAUAUAGAUAGUACAUAUGCUGCUAACUGCAUAUACAUUUGGCUUUAUUAAGUUAUAAUUUGGACUUUCAUAGUAGGCAAUGUGAGAAAAUUACCUUCUUCCUUCUGUUUAAUUUCUGAAGAAUGAUGUGCAGAAGCCUUCGGCCUUGGCUCUUCCUCAGACUCACUAUCAUCAAGGCUUGCUUCUCCAUAAUAUGCCAAGAGUGAUGUUUCCUGAUCAAAAACUUUUUUAUAACGUUUUCCUGGUACCAUCCAAUGUGAUGUUGGGUCAAUUUGAUCAUAAGGUACUGUUUCUCCAGAUCUCGGUUGUGAGAGCUGGGGAAUACUUCCACUAUCAUAUUCGAAAGGUUCAACAUAUUUAAGCAUUCAUCCAUGAUUUGAACAGACCAUGUGUGCUUUUCUUUCUUCUCUUUUAUCUUAUUUAUAUGUCUUGAUCCUGUCCACCACAAUCAAACACAACAUACAUUGAACCAAUAUUAGCACUUUGGAUAUGAACAGAAUAUGUGUAUAUCAUUCUAGUGUCUAAAUAUAUAUAUAUGGUGAUCAUACCAACUAUAACAGCCGGCAAUGUCCAUGCUUUAGCUACAAGCUUGAUGAAGUUCUCAUAGCAAAUGCCAUAAUAAUUUGGAUGAGGCCGCUCUUGUCUUCGAGCGUUAUGGCUUGAUUGUUUACCUGUAAAUUAAAAAGAGGUUUGGAGUAUUCUCUAGUUUAUUUUCAGAGCAAUACUCUUACACUAGUAUUCAUUUGGGAUCUACGUAGCACACAAAUUGAGAACCCAAAAAAUAAAUAAGUAAAUAAAGGUUCUCAAAAGAAAACAUUUAUGGACUAAUUAAACUUGGUUGAUUAGGGAUACAAGCAAGAAAUUUAUUGGAAGAUAUAUCUCAAGCUCAAUAAAUUAAUGAUUUAAUUUGUACUCAAUAAAUUAAUGGUUCUAAAAAAAAGUGCUCAAUCAAUUAAACCAGAUUGUCUAAAAUUGAACUUUUCAUCCUAAUUUGCUCUUGAGCUGAAUUCAAGAAGGUUCUGGAUUUACUUAUUAGCCCAAUGCAAAUUCAUGAGUAACUAUCUGGUCAAAGUCUCAUAUGCAUAACUAAAAUGAUGAAUUAAUAUGGGAAUCACUUAACCCACCUGAUGCUUUGAUCAUGUUCCAUAAGUUGGUUAAUAUAUAGAAAUUCUCUGUAUGGUUAGGGUUCUCGUCAGCUUCAUAUUUCUGUGGAAGGAGCUUUUUGACAGGCACACCUUGCAAAAUAACAUUGCAAUGAAACAUUUUCACAUAGUAAACUAAUACAUGAUUGCCCCAAAAUUAUCCUACAAAAACCUUCAUUGAAAAAUAGAUAUGGGAUUCUCAAUCGCUUCAAGGCAAGUGAUUUAUGGAUGUGCUUCUCUCACGCACACCCUAGGCUAGAUUUGUGAAUAAAAACUGUUAUUAUAAUAUAGUUUAGAUUAUUAUAUAAAUUACAGGUACAUAAUGACUUAGGAUAAUGGGGUAGAUGACUUUAAACAACAAAUAUCAAACAUAGAGCAUGAAGGUAGAUCUGCAUCAGGCAUUGAUCGGCUGGCUGUCGUCACUGGCCCUGAAAAUUAGAUAUCAAAACCUGUGGGCAGACCUAGGUUCCAAUUCAGCGACUCCUAUGUCACAACUUUACAAGUUUAUUGGAAAUCCUUUAGUCAGUGGAAGGAUACUUACAAAGAUAAAUGAUUUCAUCGAACCAAUUCAGUCGAGUUCCGCUUCUGAAUAAAGUAGCCUUAGAAGCAAGGAGGUGGAGAGGGGAGAUUCCUCUCUCAUCGACAUAAUUGACGAGGUCAGGAUACUCAUGAAUAAUUGUAAAUGCCAAAUCUAUCAUGCACAACAUUGAAAAUGUUAUAUAAAUAAAAGCAUGAGCCUUUAUAUAUAUAUAUCAAUUGGUCAAUUCUGCUGAGAUGAUAACAUUAUAACAAAUGUAUAGAACACAAAUGAAAAUAUGUUACCCUAAGUUAUAAGGCAUGAAGCAAAUAAAUUAUCUAUUCCUAUAGAUGUUCAGAUGAAUAAAUAGAAAACAAUAAAUGGGGCCUGAAAGCAUUGCUCACCGAAGUAUUCUCCGGUGAUGGCACAGUGAAGACUAUUUUCUCCAUCACUCCUCCGAAGGUACUCAUGCACUUUGUUGUUAGCAGUACUGCUACAUAUGUUAGAGAGGCAAAGGAAAGCGUCUUUCAUGCCAUGGAGAGCUGCUAAGAAGAGAGGGGUCUCAUUUUCAUUGUUGCGAACACCCACCAGUUCUGGAUACUCAGCAGCUAUGCACUUGCACAUGCGAACGUUGCCUACUGACGCCGCCAAAUGGAGAGGGGUGUUCCCCCGAUCAUUUUUUAUAUUAAUCAGAUACACGUUGCGAUGGGCCAUCAGUUGGACUAGUUUUACCACUACAUCUUCUCUGCCAUCUGAUACUGCUAUAUGCAAUGCCGUGUCCCCUGAUGUAGCGGUCUUCUCAUCAUGAGCCCACGGAUCUUCCUUGCAUAUAUCUACAACUUUUUCCCAUUUCCCUUGCAUGGCAUAUGAAAUCAAGCUUGGUCCAGUGGCCCCUUGUUCUGUGUCCACGACAAAUGCCAUUCUUCCUCUUCUUAGAACAACUACUACUGUUCUAUUGCUGAAGGUACCAAGGAUGAUUAUUGUAUAUGUAGAGCAAACAAGCUGUCCCAACUGUGGCAAGCCACCAUAAACUGAAAGUGAUACCUUGCUCUGGAUUCGGGAUGAGCACAAUUUUAUGGACCCCAAAAAGAGAACAUCCAUGUUUCAUUAUCCUCUUAACUAUCAUAUUUUAAAAUUUUAUUUAGAAAAUUUGGAAAAAUAAAAAUGGGAUAUUUAAAACGCAUCAAAUUACUUUUUAAAUGUGAAUGACUCAUUCAAUUAUAAUACUGAUGAAUAAAGUAAAGCUAAACUCUUGCACAGAAGGACAUUCUUUUCAAUGAAUUCAAGGAAAGAAUAAUUGUGGAAUAAAGUAAAAUCUAGUGAGAGGAUCUCUAUCUGGCAACAAAAACUCAAGGAAAGUAUCAUCUUGAGGAAAUUAAAAUAAAGAAAAGAAUAAAUAAUGAGUAAAAUAAGAGAAAAAUUAUUUUGAGAUUAAUUAAAAUUUUGAAAAAUGAAAGAGAUGUGUUGUUGCAUAUAAACAUUUCAACAAUUGAAAACCAAUAAGCCACGAUGGCUGAAAUAAGGCUACAUAAAAUCAUGCAAAAAGAUGAUGGUUUUCAAUAAACCAACUCAAGGGAGCACUGUAUCUAUCUAGGAAUGAAGUUAAAUCUGUGCUAAUAGAGAUUUUUCUCAACAAGCGCAAGAAAAGCAUAAGGAAAAACUCAAAACACAUAUAUUCAUACCUAAAUAAAUAAAUAAAUAAAUCCCUGAUCUUCCUUUUCCCUGGGGCAUCUUGCUUUUUGUAAGCAAGGCUUAUAAUGGCUCAAUUCAAUUGUAACCACAAAUUCAAUAGUCCAUCAUAUCAUUUAAUCACAUAACAUUUAAUAUAGAAGAAGACACUUGUACAUAAACUUAAUAUCAAUAAAAUCUCUUCUCACCAUCACUAAGAAGAAACCACCCGCUAAAACAUGGAAUCCACAAGCCCAAAACAACGAAGUCAAAUCUAUGUAAGGCAAAACAUUAGAGAGGAGCCACCUUGUAGCUUCGCUGUGGCACCUUCUUAAAAGUGGCCCACAUAAGAUCGAAGUACAGAGGAAACUGUGCCACGGCAAAGAAGAUUACUGGAAGGCAGGUUACUGCAUAUACAAGAAUGGCAGUGUAUUGCAGUUUAUCCAUAAGGACAAAGUAAUGUCCGGCACAGAAAGAGAUUAGCAUCGAAGCUAUGGACACAAAGAGCGAUGUCAAGCCUACUAGAAGUUUCCUUGGCAAGUAGAUGCGAAAAUCUCUCUCUUGGUAUCGAGAGGUUAGAAUGGCAAGAAACAUGAUCACAGCAUUGACUGAGAAACAAAGCGCGACAAGAGAAGAUAUGGCAAAAAUGUCAAAUGCCGGCUCGUCUUCUAGCGUUGGUGUUCCAACUUUUUCUUUCACCCCACCUGGCACAGUGGAAGACGUUGCAAAGGCCACGGUUGCAAUGAGGGCUGCCACCACGGAGCAUGACUCAGAGGUUUUGAAUAGCCAUUCACCACCAGCUUGGACAAGAUCCAUGUGUUUCUCGGUGAAGAUAUCCUUUGCAGUCUCACCCUUCUGGUUGCAGCGUACAAAGAAAUGUUGUGGCACGGACCUCUUAACAAACUGCAUAGUUCAAAGUUCAAAUUAACAAGGAAAAGGAAGAGUUCUUCAUAAGUUUCUCCAUCCGUUUUCUUUUUUUCUAUAUAGCAAUAUAUCAUAUAAUUUUACAAAAUUAAAAACAUUUACGCAUUUUGUCUGAUCAUAACUUUAAAUAUUCUAAUUAAUUUUCUUAAGAAUCUGGUAUUACUCGAUUAUCUAGAAUGAUGCAGCCAACAGAAUGUAAACUUCUGAACCUCACAUUGUUCAGGCAAUCAUUUCAACCACAAUUAGUAGUGUCCCUGAGAGUAGCAGGUUUAGGGUUUAAUCCUCCUACCCCAAUAUAUCGUACCCUUCAUUUCUUAUGGUCUACACCUUUUAAAAUGGAAAGUUAAUACUGAAAUCAUAAUGGAUAAUUGCAUACCUCGUACCACUUUAUUUCCCACUGCAUCUGCAAAGCGGCACCAGGUAUAAGCCAAGGCUUAUUCUCUCCAAGCAUUGCAGCCAGAUGUAGUGCACUAUUGCCAUCUAUGUCCACGUGCCGAAACACGGCGUCCUUGAGGACUUUUCUUUUGACUAACAGCUCAUAAACAUGGGGUUGCCUGUACUCCACUGCCAACAACACAAUGUUCUUUUUUUGGUAAUCCUUGUCAUGGAUGGCCACUGGAAAAAGUUCUAGAAUUCUCUCCACAAUUUCCACCACACCAUUCUUUGCUGCAACUAAUAAGGGUGUCUCUUUUCUCUCCAUUUCCGAUGGUUUCUUCUUAUCUGCCAAUAUCAGAUGAUUAAAUUUUAUUUAUUAAGAAAUUCUGACCACAUAAUGGAUGACAAGUAUUAGAUCAAAGAUAAAACUCUUGCCAAGAAUAAAUAUAAUUGCUAGAGAUAACUGUUACCUUGUUCAUUUUUCUUAUUUUUACCAUUGUCAUUCUGUUUUCGCUGAGCUUCUGGUGAGCUUCGAUCAGCGGGAGCUCCUUUAUCUUCACCCUGUUGAUUAGUUGCUGAAGAAGGUUGAGCUGCUGUGCCUCCCGGUAGAUGCUGACUUUCUAAGGUGUUGUCAAAAGAAACACCAUGAUCAUCCGAGAUGCUGUAAGGUGUUGUGUCAGCAUCUUUCUUCUGUGAUGGUUGUUGAGGAUUUCUUCCAUUAUCUUCGUACUCAUAAAAAGAAGCAUGACAAAGAAGUUCAUCCAAGAUCUGUGCAGCCCAUACGUGCUUCUCUUUUUUCUGCCGGACCUUCUUUACGGCCUUAAAUCCUUAGUACCAUCAGAUAUAACAACCUUUGAGAAAAUUGAAGUCCUGCAUACUGGACAAUUGAAGUCUAAAGGAUUGGUGUAAAGGAUGGUAUGGAAAGGCUUACCAAAUCCGAGAAUUACUAAUAUUGCCUUGAAUACAAACUUGAUUAUAUUAAAGCAAGUGUGGUAAUUGGAGGGAAUCAGUUGAUGCCCUUGUGACUGCAAUUCUCCUUUCGCCUUCAUGUUUGAUUGGUUUCCUGAACAAAAUAAUUGGAAAAUUCUAUUUGAAUUGUCACAACACAAAAAUUAAAAAGGAAACAUAGAGAUCAUUACAAGCAACCUAUAAUGUGCAGAAACUUAGGCUAUUUUACUAGCGGAAACCAACCCAAAUGGUUCUUUCAGAGAUCUUGUAAUUGUUUUUUAUAUAAUAAAAAAAAUGACGCAUUCAAAAGAUAUAGCCCAAAACAAAUUUUAGAAACGUGUUGCUGAACAUGUUCCUGCAUUAUUUUCACUUUUCAUGUUCCUGGAAAUGGAAGACAGUAGUAUGCACUUCCUCUAGGAGAUUGGUCCUUUACAUUGCAAAAUUGGAUACAACCAUGUGAGAGCUAGCAGAAAAAUCUAUCCCUUUUUUUGUUGCAUGUUGGCUCAUUUUAAUGUCUCAAAAUAUUCUUUUUCUGAUCUUACAAAGGUUCUGAAGUGACAUUUAAUUUCAAUGUAGGCUGCCCCCCAUGCACAAGACAAUGGUCCAUAAGCUGCUCUGAGUAUACUGUGAUAAUGCAUAUAGGAACAGCUCAUGCUUUUUUUCUGAAGCCCAUUAAACAUAGAUGCCAGAUAGAGAAGAUGAUUGCUAACCACUGGGAUCCUCCAGAUCAGCUUGCCCACCAGUUCCUGGAUCUUUUCCGGUAUUAGCUGAAAAUGGGAAGUAGCUUAAUGACUACUUUUAGCAUAGAGGGAAGUCGUAACAGAACAUUCAAAAAGCAAGGCAUCAGUUUAAUGCUGCCAAUUCACAGAUCCAUGGAUAUCACCAUGCAAAUAAGCCUAUUGCUAAAGAGUACUACUACAUGUACAGAGGCUUCGCAUAAGAGAUUCUCCGCGCUACACUCAAUGAAAAGUGUCACCCUCUAUUUUGCAGAAGAUUAUUUUAUGUUCCCGAGUCUGUGAGAGAAUCAAUAGAGAGAACCUCUAAAACAAACUUUAUUCCUCCUACCACUAAAUAUGUAUCUUUCUAGGCCAACAUGCAUAAUUUACCUCAACUUAGGCUUGCACUGACUUCUUGCAUUUCACGUUUCUAUGAUAGCUAAGCUGCUAACAUCUCAGCAAAAUAAUUUAUAACUGGGGAUUUUUUUUUUCCUUUAUAAUGUUUUUAAAAUUUUAAAACAUAGUUAAUGUACAACAAAAGAGAUGAUACUUACCAUUGGUAGUCUUCUGAUCUGAUUGCUCAAGAUUUGUGUUUGGACGGUUUCCAGGAUCAACUGAAAAUGGGGAGAGGCUCAGUGAGGGCUUUUUUAUUAGAAUACAGGAAAUGGAAGUGCCAAGACAAAUAUAUAAGAACAGUGCCUAAUCCAGACCCGAAUGAAUUUAAGCCUGAAAGCCUAGCAAGAAAUAACUUCAGUGAAUUGGCCUGAUGGCCCUAACUUCGAAUGGAAGUAGACUGAUUUUGAUUUGUAUUUGCAGUCUUCAUAGAAUAUGUGAAUUCAGGGUCGCAUGCUUCGAUGGUGCUCAUCUAGUCUAAGAUUAAUAGAUGGGAGGUCCCAGAAAAAUCACCUCCCAAAGCAAAAUUACUUAUAUGGUAAAACACUAAAACUACUUAGUUGGGACAACAUAAAAUAUGAUUAAACAAAUAAAAAGAAAAAGUGUAGUUCUAUGAUAUCGUCACCCACAUAGUAUUGUCAAGGCCGACCAGGGCAAUCGGAGGAAAUUGAUGCAUGUUUGGUAGUUCUCUGGACAUAGAGGAUCCUUUUCUUCAUCAAAAGUUUUUACGAUAGCUUCCUCCUGCUUGAAUGUUUCCUCCUCAAGCUUUUCAACAAAUAUACCUUGAAAAUAACAGUCAAUAGAGCAAAGUGAAAACUGUAGUUAUGAGACAAUGUUCAUCAUUGCCAAAAUACAUUUAAGGCCUUGUUUGUACAGGCUUUCAAAGAGAGAAAAGCUCUUUUACUCAAAUGGAGUGUCAAAAAGAUAAAAUCCUAUUCCCAUGAAAUCCACUUGAUUUGCCACCAAUCCCGUGCAGAGGAUUGUGCUUAAUUCACGUCUAGGCAGAACUGGAAUACCAAAGUAAGGCCUAUUGAGGAAAGGGAAAUGUGCUGCCAGACAUUAUUUGAGGAAGGAAGUAGUUUUGAAGGAAAAGUGAUUCUUACAGUGAUAUAUGAUGUUGGUGAACCAUCGAAAAUGACUCCCGCUUCUGAAAGCAGAAUGUUUGGUGGCCAGGAGAUGGAGAGGCGACAAUCCUUGCUCAUUUACGGAGUUAACAAGAUUCUUGUACCGGCUAAUUAUUUGAAAAGCCAAAUCUAUCAAACACAAUGAUAAAUCUUUAAUCAGAUUAUUUUCAAAGGAUAAGAUAUACUUUAAUCAGAUUGAGUUGCUUAUCGAUAUAGAGUUAUUUUCAAAGGAUAAGAUAUACUUUAAUCAGAUCAUGAACAAGAUUCUAGCAAAGCACUCACCAAAGUAUUCUCCCGCGAUGGCACAAUGAAGAAUGGUAUCACCAUCAUUCCUCCUACAGUAAGUGUUGCCCUUAUCCAAUCCGCAUAUUUCAUCGAGGCAAAUAAAAGCUUCUUUCUUCCCAUGUAGUGCAGCCAAGAAGAGAGGAGUCUCACUGUCAUGGUUGCGGGCGCCAAUCAGGUCCGGGAGUGCAUCAGCAAUGCACUUACACAUCUCCAUGCUCCCCAUAGAUGCUGCUAAAUGGAGAAUGGUAUUCCCUCGCUCAUUUUGUAUCUUGAGAACCUCCUUGACCUUAGCUUUACCCCGGAUAAUGAGUAGUAGCUGUUCCACAAUACGCGCUUGGUCAUCAGAAACUGCUACAUGUAAUGCUGUGUCCCCUGAUUUUGUGAUUUUGGCCAUGUGAACUUCUUCAUUUUCCUUAUAUAUGUUCACAACUUCAUCCCAUUUACCCUGCAUGGCACUUCUGAACAGUUUCUUUUUAAUCACCUCCAUAUUUUGUCUUGUCUCCCGAGUAGAAGCCAUUUUUCCUGUCUUCUUCUUAAUGUAAACUACUUCUGGGAACUUAAUUUGGAUGGAAAAGAAUGGGGUAAGGAUGAUGAUAUUUAUGCUGUUUAGUAAAGUAUGUUUGGAUUAUAAAAUUCAAAAGAAGUUAGCAUGGUAGGACUGAGAUAAAAGGAUUUCUACUUUAUCUUGCAUCGAAAUGGCUAAAGAACAUAUGAUGAAAUAUUCCUAACUGCUAAACCAAGAAACCUUUCUGCUUUAGCCACAAUCCUCUUGACGUGUCACCCACAUUUAAAUACAAAAGUCUGCUGUUCACAACCGUUUUUUUUUUUUUUUUACUAUUAAUUGCAUAUUGUCUUUACUCUCUCUCUCUCUCUCUCCCACAUAUAAAUACAAAAGUCUGCCGUUCACAACCUUUUUUUUUUUUUUUUUACUAUUAAUUGCAUAUUGUUUUUACUCUCUCUCUCUCUCUCUCUCCCACAUAUAAAUACAAAAGUCUGCAGUUCACAACCUUUUUUUUUUUUUUUUACUAUUAAUUGCAUAUUGUUUUUACUCUCUCUCACCCACAUUUAAAUACAAAAGUCUGCAGUUCACAACCUUUUUUUUUUUACUAUUAAUUGCAUAUUGUUUUUAUUCUCUCUCUCUCCCACAUUUAAAUACAGAAGUAUGCAGUUCACAACCUUUUUUUAUACUAUUAAUUGCAUAUUUUUUUUACUCUCUCUCUCUCUAUAUAUAUAUACUUUUUAGAUUUAGAGCUAGCUAAGAUCUUGACGUACAUUAUUUUUUAUAUUCAUGCACUUGAUUGAUUUUCCCCUAUUAAUUAAACUCAUAAUAUUUCAAAUUUAUUUUCUUCAACAUCAUGACUGUGUGGCCUUUUUCUUUUCCAAAAUGCAUCCUUAUCUCAUUUAAAGUAAGAUAAGAGAAAUAAAAAGAAAGUGAAUGCAACAGAAGCUUUGCAAUGCACAUAGUCAAAAGCAAAUGUCUAGUGCAAUUAAUAAAAUGGUGGAAUAUGUGAAUGGGAAGCAGGGCUUUAGAUUGGCUACCUUUCUUUUCUUUUGAUUUUAUCACCUUCUCUCCCUUUUUCUGGUCAAAGAAAGGGCAGUGUCAUAUUCUUAGACUUGAUUUACAUGAUCUGUUGAAUAUAUAAAUAUUUAUACCUACCUGCACACCAUAGUGAUAGAUGAAGAUAUGACCAUAUCACCAUGCAACUUGGGGGAAUUGGUAAAGUUGAUUAUUAACGCAAGCCCAAUCUUAUUGAAGAAACAAUCAAAUUCAAUUUAAAUUCAACCCAAACUCUAAUAUAAGGUACUUGACCCUAGUUUAACCCAAUCUCAUUUUUCUAAAUUCGGUUUAAAUUCGAGUUAGUCAAGUUAAACUCAGAUUGAUCGAGUUAAAUUCAAAUUGGUUGUAUUGAUUAGGUUAUAAGAUUCAAAAUACAUUCAUAGUGGUGUAAAAAAAAAUCUAUAUAUUUAUAUCAAAAUUUAAAAAUAUAAAUAAUAUAAAAUUUUAAUAUAAUAAUAAAAUAAUAAAAAUAAACUUAUAUAUUUUUUAUUAAAAAUGUAAAAGCACAUAAUAUAAGUAUAAUUUGGUUUUUUUUUCUUUAAAAUCUAAAAGAAAAAUGAAUAUUAUCAUAUAAGAUAAUAAAAUUAUAAAUAUUAUAAAAAUAUUAAAUCAAAUUCGAGUUAAACUCGAUUUGUUUGAAUAUUGACCCAAACUCAAUCCAAAUUGAGUUUCAAUUGUAAAAACUUAACUCAAUUUCAAUUUGAAUAAUGAAAAUGUUUAUCCAAAUCCAUCCGAGCAUCGGGUCCGACUCAUGUUGGGUAUCAGGUUGGGUUGGGUUAACACUUCGAAAUUGCACCCCUAGCUAUGGAGCAAAGAAAACAAACCGCAACAAAUAUUGAGAUAUAGGACAAAGGAAAAAAAACAACUAGCAACAAAUUUGGAAGUUUAUCUAUCCCCAAAAUACUAAAAACCUCAAUAGCCACACCCAUUAGGGCAUUCCUCAUGAACAUUAACUUAUGGUUCUGAGUCCUCCAUAACCUCAAGCUUGACAGGAGCAAUACCAGGUUCAUCAACAAUGGCGUCCAGGUCUCCAGUCUCCCCUUCCAAAUGAGCCAUCAGCAUGGCCACGACAAGCCCACCUACACACUCCAUCAUCGAUGUUUUAUCACCCUUCCCACUCUUGCACAUGGAACCCAUAAUCGCCCCAAUGGAUGUUCCAAUGCAAUUGGUGCAAUAAUCAUCAUCUAACAUGUCCAUGUGACCAUAAUCUGGAAUAACAAAGCCAAGGCAAUUAUCCUUGCACUCGUUGAAAAACUCCGCGUAGUUGAGCCCAUCAGGAGCACAAGAACAUGGUAUGCAGCCGAUGACAGACUCGCCCCCAAGACCCGUACCGAUUACCAUAACCGGGAUAUCCAGAAUGAAGGAAUGAGGGACACCAGUUAGGAUCUUUGGACACAUUUUCAUGCAUUUAUUUGCCCCAGCAACCGGGUCUAUACCUAUUAGGGUUAAGAACUUGAGAUUCAUGGAUACGUUGGCAUUCCCCAGUGCAAGAGCAAAUGCUAGAUAACCCCCUCUGCUAUGGCCUGCAAGGGCGAGCCUGCUUAGGUCUGGAACAACAUUUUCUGGGAGCACAGAUUGAAGGCCUGAGCUUAACCAGUUGGCGACUUCCGCUGCAGAGUUGAUAUCCGGUCGGCCGUACAAAGAACAUAGGCUGAGUAACUAGACAAACCAUCAACCAUUGCAUAAUAUUAGUUGAUUUUGAAAGAAUGUAAAAAAAAAAAUAAAAAAAUAAGGGAAAAGGGAGUUGGACAGAUACCCUAGGAGCCACAACAAUAUCUCCAUGAGAAGAAAUAUGCUCAAGGAGGUUCGUAUAGCAGCAGGGGCAGAUGUUGUAGCCAUGAAGAAACAGGAGAACUGGGUAUGUUCCUUCAGUGUCUGGUGUUACAAUAAACAAUGUCUUUGGAGCGUUACAAGUUGUUAUGGGUUUCGCUGUGUAGUUUCCUCGCUUAAAAACAUCUGUUGCUGCCGCCGGUGCAGGCCUAGCUUCUAACGCUGCCAUUGCUCUCCCUCUCCCUCUCUCUCGGCAUGUUGAAACACACAGGCGGUCUUAUCCUAUAAUGGGUGGAGGAUCGGCGUUCACGCCCCACAUGGUGAUCCAGUGCCAUAUUUUUCUAUUCUAAAUAAUAAAAAAUAUGUUGAUUGAUAAUAAAGGGUUUUGUCAAAAAUAUACUGAUUCUAAAUACUAAUAGCAUUCAUAUAAAAAAUAGAUUAUUCUUCAAACAAUAACAUAGAAAAUGUCAAAUUCAAAUGAGAAUUAUUUCAUUCCUUUUAACCAAUUAAUUCUAAUAAAAAAACAUGUUUAAGCUCCAAUCACCCGAUAUUUCCUUCACACGCAACCUUGCGACAUGAGUUUGAAGAAAUAUGCAAUAGAGCUUCAAACUAUCAGAAGUGUAGAACUUAGAACACGCAAAAUAUGUAGUGUUUGUGCUGCAUUCAAUCUGCAUAAUUAAUGGGAUUCAGCAAAACCCCAUUAGUUAUACUUAUACCUUUAUCUCCAUCUCCAUUUAUAUUUGUUUGAGGUUUUAGCUCAAACUCUUAUGAUUUAACUAAUGUUUGGUUGGCGAAAAAUUUGAGGAAAAAUGUAAAAGAAAAAAAAUAAAGAUGAAAAGUAUUAAAAAAAAAAUUAAAAAAGUAGAUUUAAAGUCAUAAAUUUUUUUUUAAGUGUUACUUUAAACCCAUUUAACUUACUUUUCCACUUCUACGUGAACAUAAAAUAAUUUUAAAGUGAAUAAAAUUUUAAUUAAUUUUAAAUAUAUUUUAAUUUAUUUCAUAUUUUUUCAUAAUAAAACUAAACAUAAAAAAAUUAUUUUCAUAGGUAUUUUUUUUCUUUGCUUUGUACUAUUAAGAACUAAACACACCCUAAAUGAACUUGGGGGAAUAUUCUUGGCUAAAAUGUCACCUUAAACUUUAUUUUUAAAAACAUAGCAUCUAUGUUUCAAUUAAAGAUUAAUCUUUGAAAUGGUCCCCACCCCAAAAUUUAAAAAAAAAAAAAAACUUUAUUUUUAAAAACAUAGCAUCUAUAUUUCAAUUAAAGAUUAACCUUUGAAAUGGUCCCCCCACCCCGAAACAAAACUAGGAAAGUGACCCAAGCCAAGAAUGACAAAUUUUAAUAAAGACAGUUUGGCUGCACUUUGCAAUGAGCUAGGACAGUAUUAUUGAUCUUCAUGCAACAAUUCCUAGUGAAAAAAUUAGAGGGAAAAAAAAAAAGACACAAAUUUAACGUGGUUAGAUAGAUUGCCUACGUCUACAAGAAUAGGAAAGAAGAUUUUCAGUAUAUUUAAAUUAGGGUUACAUAAAAGGGUAUUUAUACUAACCCUCAGGUAUUAAAAUUUCAAAAAUACUCUUGAACUAUACUACAUGGGUAUUUGCCCCUUUUUCUCUAUAUGUUUUUCACUCAAUAUAAGCCACAUACUACAAGUAUCUUGGGUUUCAUCUUCAAUGGGUGUGUCCUUUUCUUUCUUUGAACAGAAAGAAUAAUAAUAAGUAUAGACAAAAGCAUAUUGUAUGGAUGAUAUGGAUCGAUCCUUUCAUAUUUGCAUUCUCUGAUUUCUCUUUCAGAUAUUUUAGCACCUAUAUAUUGGUUAACCUUGAAGGGGACACAAAGGAUUUGGGUGUCAUUCUCAAAAGAAUUAACCUUUCUUGUCUCUCAUAAAAUUUGUGCUAAAUCCAAGUAAUCAUCUUGGAUUCAUAAAUAAUGGUUAAUUUUAAGUGAUCUUAGACUCACAAUGCGAUAAGGAAAGGUUUAGUAAGAGCAAGUUUAAAAGCUUCGAGGGGUUAGCACCUCCCAAUACAACCCUGAGAUGAGAUGAUAAAUAAGUUUGAUGGAUGUCUUACUUUUCAUGGAGCAAGUGUUUAAAUACAAAAAAAUACUCACACAAAUGACCACUAAAAUAGAAACAAACCAACUACGUAAAUGAAUGACCCAUAUCUCAUGCAGCUCACUAGCAACUAAAGACUAGGACAAAUAAUUAAAAUGUAAUGAAUGCAUAUCUUCAUCUAUUUAAUUAAUAAAAUAAAAGUUAUAAAAAAAUACUUAAUACAUAUUCUUAAGCCCAUGAGCAGGUUAUCUUUUAUCAUAGACUACCUUAAUCUUCGACCAUCCUAAAGCAUUUCGUCUUGAUCAUUUGACUAUCCAUCAAGUGAAACGGUUCCUCACUAAAGAAAACCAAAGUUCCACUCCAACCAAGGAAAGAGAUAAAUCACAUCUUGGCCAAAUGUCAAUCCUCCUAGUUUGACUAUAUGAUGAAGUUACUCAAUAUAUAUAUAUAUAUUAUGUUUUUCAUCAAUUAUUAAUUUAUAUUUUUUGGGGCCUUCAAAUAUUUUUGAAAAUAUUAUUAUUUUAUGUAUUUAGUGAGUUAUUAACUUAGUAUACUAGUCCAAGUUGGAAUCGAAAAAAUUCAUUAUUUAAAUGAAAUUAUUAAUUUAUGAAGGUUUUACUGUAAUGUUUCAAUCGUACAUAUAGGGAGCAAAGGUUUCAUAUUGUUAUAGUUUAUUUGGUUGACUACAAAUAACUCAUCAAUAGAGAGCAUUACCCCCCUAAAGAAAAAUAGUUCUUAGUCUUUUACAAAUUUUUACUUAUGUCAUUAAUUUGGUAAAUUCUCAUCUCAUCUAUAGAAAAUAUUGUUAAUAAAACAAGCUCAUAGUAUUAUAGCAUAAGAUUGUACUUCUACAUGGUAGCAUACUAUUAUUGUCGACAAUUACACUUUAGUCCAUUAUUUUUGAAAAAUUAUACCAACACCCGAUGAGCAGCCUGAUUAGAGCAAGACCACGCUUUUGACCAACUAUGACCAUUGACGUAUAGGUGAUUGUUAAUUGUCGCCAUUGAAAAUUUAAUGAAAAUCCUUAAAAUACCCUCAAUUACCUUAUUUAAUAUAAAAUGCCUAAAAUACCCCUUAAACCUUAUCUUACAUAACCUUACCUCAUCACAUUAAUAAAAUUUUAUUCCAAAAGAAUUGAAAUUAAAAUUUUGACAAAUAUAAUGAUUAAAUGAAGUUAAUAUUUGGACAAAUAUCAUGAACGUCUUCCUCGAUUCCUCUCCUGUAACAAAAGAAGAAGGAUGUUUGUAGUCAUCUAACUAGCAAACCUAUUUCCAACGUUACCCCACCAACGACAAUUUUCACCAACACACAACUUUAGUGUAUAAAUUUUGAUGGCCCAUAGCCUUAUAAGCUAGAGGAAUUAAUGAACAAAGGAAAGCCCCAUAUGAAUGUUGACGACCAUUGUGCUCGGCAAAUUAGGUCCUACUUAAUAACCAUCUUUUAAAAUAGUUUCCUAUUUCUCCAAAAAAAAAAAAAAGGAAAAAAAUAUAUUUAACAACCAAAAAAACAGGAAACAAUUUUUUUAUUUCUAAAAACAUAAAACAAUUUUCUAUUUCUAAAACCAGAAAAUAUAAUAUUUUAAAAUAAUACAUUUUAAUUGUUUUAAGUUUUUUUUUUUUUUCUUUUUUAAGAUUGUUUAAAAAUAAUUAUAUAAAUAUAAAGAAUAACUAAAAAUAAAGUAUUAUGGAUAAAAAUUAUUUUUAAAAACAUAUUUAAAAACAAAGAAAAUUAACAAGUUAAAAAUAUUUCAAGGUUUCAAAUAAAAUUUUGAUUUACAAAAUAUGAUAAAAUUAUUUUUCUAAACCGUUUCCAAAAAUACUCCUCAAACAUAGUCUUUCCACACGCCUUCAUAUGUUAUUUGCUCCCAAAGGUAUAUAUACCAAGUACUAGAAUAAUGCAAAUUCCAAUUAAUCAAUGGUGCUUUAGCUGAGUUGGAUGGCAGUGUACUGCCAAGUGAAACCUCCAAAAGUAUUGAUCACAGUACUGAAAGCCAAGAAUCAUUGUACUGCAUUUUUAUUAUCAAUUAAGCAUUGCCAUGUAAGAGAAAAAACAAACAUAAUAAUUGGAAACAAUUAAUGAUCAUCUAUUGAGACCCUAUCAAAAAUGACCUAAUCCACAUGUGAUGUUCUUAUAAUAUGGAACACCCAAUCCCCCAUUCUUAGUCUAACACAAAUGAUGGGUCUUGAGAAUAGUAGAGGUCAUUAGCAAUACAACACAGUUUCGUUUAUUUGAAUCUUUGUUCCCAAAGACGAACCGAAAAAAAAAAAAAAAAAAUCUGCUGUCACACUCCUUAUAGCAUUACAAAGAAUCCAUGAUUUCAUGCUUCUAUGAACUCAACAGGAUCAAGCUUCACAGGAGCCAGAUCAGGUUCAUCAACAAUGGCUUUGAAAUCUCCAGUCUGACCUUCCAAAUAAGCCUUCAAGAAUGCAACAAAAAGGCCACCCACACAUCUCCUCAUGGGGUCCCUAGGACCCUUCCCACUCUUGCAGAUAUAACCCGAAAUCGCCCCAAUGCAGCCUGAAAGAUGAUCAUCUAACAUGUCCAAGUGACCAUAUUCAGUAGUCACAAAGUGGGAACAAGGAGGUUUACACUCACUGAAAAACUCUACAUGGUUCACUCCAUCUGGGGCACAUGGACAUGUUAGGCAGUUCCUUGGCUCAUCGCCCAACCCCGUGCCGAUUACGCAAACUGGGAUUGCUAGAUUGAAGGAAUGAGGAACAUAGGUUAGGAUUUUGGGAACUGUUUGGCUACAUUUACUCAACCCACCAACAGGGUCUAGUCCUAGUAGGGCUGAGAAGUUGAGGGAUGUAUCAGCAUACCCUAGUGCCAGAGCAAAUGCUGUCUUUCCCCCUCUGCUGUGGCCUGAAAGAGCAAGCUUGAGUAGGUCUGGUUUCACAUUUUCUGGGAGCACAGAUUGAAGGCCUGAGGAUAGCCAAUUUGUGACUGCUGCUGCUGAUUUGAUCUCUUGAAUUCCAGAAGGAGGUAAUAGUCCGUAUAACUAUAUAGAAAACCAUUUCACAGUACUGCAUGUCAGAGAUUGGAGAUUAAUAGAAAAUGUGUUUGUGCAUGCGGUUAUUAAUUGAAAGUUCUCCCAAAUGCCUUGCAAUCUUUCGGAUGAACUUGAUUAAAAAUAUUAAAUCAAGUUUGGGUUAGGUUCAAUUUCCUAAACUUUGGUCCAGAAUAAUUCAAAUUGAGUUCAAGAUUGAAAAACCCUAAUAUAAGAUCAACCUAGAUGUCAAAAUGAUUACCAAAGCUCAUCUAAACAUUGGGUUAGGUUGGAUUUCAUUCGGGUCAACCUGUUAAACAGGUUGCACCUCUAUUAUUAUGUCAAUAUAUAAAUAUAUUGAACUAAUUUGGAUUGCAAUACUUCAAUUACAAAGAUCAUUACCUUUAAUUUUAUAAUUAUAUAUAGAGAUGACAAUAUGACAGGUUUUUUUUAGUACCAAUCUCACCACCCUGCCCCUAGUGGAACAUGUUUAAAAUUUAAAUAAAUGGAUUCGAGACAAAUUUAGAAUUUUUUUAAAACCCGAGGCAGGCUCAAAAUGGAUUUAGGUAUUGUCUAAUCUUAUCUCGUUCCAUCACAUUCAAAAUAAAAUAAGUUAUAAAAAAUUAUAUUAUUUUUAUUAUUUAUAAAAUAUAUUUAUUUUAAUAUAAUUAAAAUAAAUAAUUUUUUUCAAAAAAAAGUUAAAUAGUCGGGCAAGGCGAGUAUGGUAAAUUCGUAUGCCCACCCUACCCAUUUAACUUUUUUAAUAGGAUGGAGAUGGAAACUAUUUUGGAUAAACAUAACUCACCCUGAACCUGAAACCAUCCUCUUAUCAUCUCCAACUAUAUAUUAAGUACAAUUAAAUGGGAAACGAGUAGAAGAAGAAAAAGAAAAAUAGGGGGAGGAGGAUAGUUAACAGGGAAGAGAGGUUGAGAAAGCACCUGAGGAGCCACCACUAUGUAUCCAUGGGAAGAAAUGAGUUGAAGGAGCUGGGUGUAGAAGGUGUUGCGGAGCUCGAAGCCAUGAAGAAACAAGAGAACUGGGUAUGUCCCUUGAAUGGUUGGUGUAACAAUCAACAAUGGCUUGGGAGGGGAAGCGAUGUUUGAAGUCUCCACUCGAAUGCAAGUCACACUCAAAUUUCCUGGCUCAAAAACACUGGUUGUUGUCUUCAAAUCAAGCUUGAUUCCCUGGGUUGAAGGAUUACCUCCUAAUAGUGCCAUUGCCCCCUUUUAGAGUGUGUGGAAAUCAAGGUAUAGAUCUCUCAUUUUAUAAUUGGAGAGAAUGAUGAAUUGCAGCCAUUGGGCAGCUAUGCAGCUGGGCCCUAGAGGAAGAGUCCCCGACUCCAAAUAAUUGUAGCAGCCUUCGAGUCAAUCAAUACUAGUCAAGUACACCAACUAACAAAAAGAUAUUUCAAACAAAUUUCAUUUAACUAUUAGACUUAAAACUUAAAUAAUUCAAAAAUACAUAAAUUUUUAACUAAUUUUAAUUAAAUUUUAUUUUAUUUCAUAUUUUUUAUAAUGCAAUUAAAUAUAAGAAAUUCAUUUUUCUUAAUUUUUUUUUUUUAGUAUUUUAAGGACUGGUAAAAAAAAAAUUAAAGGCUAACUAAAAUAAUUUUAAAAACUAUUUUUAAAUUUUCAAAUAGGGGUUUGUUUUAUAAAAUAUAAAAAAAAACAAUUACGACAACAAAACCUAAUAGGAUACAACCUGUAGACCCUCAAUUUUGUCCCUUUAGCACAUGUCUUUAAAUUUGUUUUCAGUGCUCCAUAGUAGUUCCUUGGUGGCCCAUUAUUACUCGCAUAAAAGGUGGAAGACCAGAUCCUUAAAAAAGAAGGAGAAAAAGAUACCAAAAGCAGAAGAGGAGAUAUAGUAAAGAAGGGGGGGUUUUUCAGAGAGGAUUUUCAGCACACAUAAAAAAAACGUGGGGAAAGAGAUUCAUCCUGGAGAGGGGAAUUGGAAAAGAGAAGCAGUACUUCUUUAGAAAAGUUCUAAGGUAAGCUUUCUGAUUAUUUUUCUGGCUCACCUUCCCAAUCUAUAUUCUUCAUUCUCUCCUUUUAUGAUCGGGAACACUGUUUGCUUGUUGGGUUGAGGAUGGUGGAAACUCUAUGUGAACGUUUCUGAUUUCUAGUUUUUGCAUAUGCUUACAAAUAUUGUUUCAUUCCCUAUUACUAUAUUCAUUUAUUUAUUUUUGAUCAUUCGAACUCAGUGAGACUCUGUUUUAUGGUAUAUUAUUUGAUGACAUUGUUUGCCCUAUCUCUCUUUUACUCUUCCCACCAAUCUAAGCCCAUGGAUUAACACUUGAAAUGAGGCUACGUUAAUUGGCAUCCUCUGCUUAUUCCUUCCCCGGUUUUUACUAUGUGUCUAUCCAUGUCCUCUGUUCCCCUAUUCAUACUACCUUCCAGUCUUUGUCUAUAUAUUUGGGUGUGUAUUCGGGACUGAUAGAAGUGCUGAUAUGAAAGAUAAAGUGUGUUGCAAACGCGGUGUACUCAGUGUAUUCCUGGUGGACUGUGAAGAAUGAAGGGUAGUGAUGGAGAUUCAUAUCGUGUGAAUUUGGUUGAAUAACAGAAGAAGGGUUGCAUGGAAACAGCAAAGAGAGAGGGAUCUUCAGGAAUUUCUACUAUGGAAAAGGACUUAUGAUUACACAGUCCAACUGUUGGCAAGAUCUCUGGUCACAAUAUUCGAUCAAAUCAAUUAUGUUUUUGGAAUUACUCAGAUGACGGAUGUUGAGGAAGACAUAGAUUCGAGGAUAAUGAACUUUGAUUAUAUUAAUCGCAACCAGUCAGUUUCUGCAUUAAUGCUAUCUUCAGUUUAUCCAUCUGAGAAUAGUAGAGCCAAAUUUACUUCAAGUCCACUAUCUUGGGACUAGAAGCUCUUCACUUAUUCAUUAUCCACUUAAAAUCCAAGUGGCUUUCCACGACUCGUAGACAAGUUACAGGCGUCAUCCUUUUCUCACAUGAUUUCUACAUCCAAAGCCUUCCGUGGCAUGCAUCAUAAUACAUCAAGUGGCUAGUUUAAAAUAUCGUUAAUUAUCAGAGGAGCUUUCUGGUAUUUGUUAACAUAGCACACACCCUGCAAUCUACUCACAUGGAUGAUCAUGACCUUCUAGUUGGGUCCAAGAACGCUCAUUGAGUUCAAAGUUAGGCAGAGAAUGCAUUGGAUCGAAUUGACGGGUUUGAAAAGAUUGUUAGAGCAAUUUCUAUUGUUGUUAGGUUCCUUGUAACCUUGAAGACCGUGCGCAUCAUACCUUCACUUGCACUUUUAAUGAAAUCUGAUGAAGUGAUUGACAGAUCCUUUGUUGCCCAGGCUGAUUAGUCUUGUUUGUAAUGGAAGUCGGGGAAUAAAUCUUAUAAUUGCAAAUUCAGGUGCAGUUGCUGGGUUGAUAACCCUAAUGGAUUAUAUAGAAUAAGAUCCGCCAAACCAUAAUUGUUUUAUCUAGAGAGUGCAUGCAAGAUGGAUCUUAAACGUGGAUAGUUUCCAGUUGUUUCUGCGUAUUCUAAUGGAGAUGGAUGUUCUGAUGGUGGAGCUUUUGACAAUGGACCUUGUUUUUUUAGGUGCAACAUCUGGCUGGAGAUCAGUUUCAUGAACAUAAAUCUAAGAUCUACUUACCUUAUGUGUCAGGAAGUCCACUUCUUGUCAAUGAGUUAGUUUAUGAUGAUGCUCCCUAGCUGUUUGGUUCCUAAAGAUGAAUGUCUGCCUGCAAAAGAGAUGAAGCAGCCCCUAAUGCUGCUGAUUCUGAUACAGCAAGAAACUUCUCAUGAAGUCACUCUUAUGACACUGCUGAUGAGGAACUCGGUUAGAAGUUCAUGACACUUGUCAGGGAUUGAAGUUCUAUUCAAACUACUUUCAUGACUUAAUUUUUCCUGAUUUUCUGAAAUAAUGCCUAUUGCUCUACAUAAUAUCUCGGUUUACGAAAAGCUUUACUCAACAUCAUCCAACAUUAGUACUCCAUGAAAGAUCAACAAUUCUACAAGUCUCCAAGGCUUCCUUGUUAUCAAUGCUAAUGGUUUCCCCGGGAUUAAAAAUUCAUGAACAAGGACUUUCUGGAUCAUCUAAAUUUUCCUAGUCAUAUUCCUAAAGAUUCUAAUGAAAUGGAAAAGGAGAUUUUUCCCAGAUCAGCUGGUAUCUAUAUCCGAAAUGAGACAGCUCGAUCAAGUCAGAACGUGCUUGAACUUCUUUGUAAAGCGGAUCAACUAAGGGAUCAAAAUGCAGCAUGCUCAGUUCAGAUCUCAGAGAGGAAGCCAUUAUCUGAAAUAUCAGAAUCAGAAAUUUUUAUGGUUCUAUAGGUCACCUUCAGCGAAAUCAGUCCUCCGCUUCUUAAAUCAGUUAAUUCGCUCAACUCACAUACCUCUCCUGAGAUAGAAGAUAAGAGUCAUGCAUGGUUGACAUCCGUUCCUCCUGUUCGGUUUUUACCUCAUUCCUAUGAAGCGUCUCAAAGAGAGUCGGGGUAUAAUGAAUUCUUGGGGAAAAGAGCAUCCGAGACCGUAUGCAAGGCAUUUGAUGAAGUAGAUGGAAUAGAACUCGCAUGGGGUCAAGUGGAAAUUAAGGAUUUAUUACAGUCCUUUCAACAGCUAGAAAGAUUAUAUUCAGAAGUUCAUUUACUGAUGUCACCGAAACACGAUACAUCAUCAAGUUCUAUAACACUUGGGUUGAUGAUAUGAAUAGGACUAUUAACUUGAUUACAGAGUUAUUCACUUCCAGGAGUUUGAGACAAUAUCGGAAGAAGUAUCAGCAUAUUGACUUCAAAGUUCCCAAUCCGUUUCAAGUCCCACGGAUGCCCAAGCUGUCUUUGAAACUCUGACAAGAAGGAGUAGCUAUUCAAACCAUCUCCAACAGUACACCUAGUGCUGAUAGUUUCUGGUGUAUAACAGGGAUCAUUACAAGGAAAUAGGAAGGUGCUGAUGCUGUUUUUCUAAGGGAACUGAACCGAAUGACACCAGCAUGCUAUUAUUGCCCAAGAGUAUCAAAAGAACAUGAACUCUUAUCAUCUCAUCAUGGAACAGCCUCCACGCUCUCUAUAAAACUCUUAAUUGAUACAAAUCUGGGAACAUAGACUUCGUUUGCUAUCCGCGAUCAUUGCCAAUGCUCUUAUCUUGGCCCAAGAUCCAUUUGGGAAUUAUGUUGUGUAAUAUGUAUUUGAAUUUGAGGGUUCAUGGGCAAGAACAGAAACGCUCAACCAAUCAGAGGGUUAAUAUAGGCACCUCUCCAUGCAGAAGUACAGCAGCAAUGUCGUUGAGAAGUACCUGAAAUAUACUGGGGAAGAGCAGUUUGCUUGUAUCAUUUAAAGAAUUCAUAGACCAUAUAUCCCUAAUUAGAUCGGAUGAUGCUGGACCCAUAUGUCAAUUAUGUCAUUCAAACUACAUUAAACCACUCCAAGGAAGACAUGGAUAGGGAAAGUUGGUUACUCCAAGGUCCGUAUUUCUCAAGAGCAACCCAAGGUUGCUGGAAUUCUCCAUCCCUCACUAGAAGUCACCAAAACUUUGAACAACAGGAAGCUUCGGAAGGUGCCAAAAGAGGGCAGAAUGCAUUUUGGAGUUCAACGCCAGCACUGCAGUCUCAAAUCUCAUUCACAAGCUCCACUCCAUCAUAGCAACCGUGCUACAAGCAUCUUCUCCCCUACUUGCUUCUUUGAUUGAGAAUUUACUGUUUUAAAUUGAAUUUCAAAACCAUUGUUCAACUAAACAUUAUCAACUUUGAAAAAUUCAUCUUUAGAUCUUAUCUAGGCUAUAAAAUCCAGAUUUCAACACUCUUUUGUUGUCAUUUUCCUUCCGGCACGCAUUUUCACUAUUUUAUUUGAUUUUCAACUAAUUUUCUCGAUUUUUUCUAAGCAUGAAUAAAUUUUAUGAUUCCAAACAAUGAAAUUCAUGGAAUCAACUCAUGCGAAAUUAAUUAGGGCUUUGGUGGGAGGCCCGACAUUCAUGAUACCUUCUUCAAUAUUGUUUGCUUGAUAUGUUGAUUUUUUAUUCUUCUUGAUGAUAUACAUGAAUUUGUUUCGUAUUUAUUGUUGAGAUGCUCUUGAUUCCCAUAGAGGAGUACUAGCUUGCUAUCCUGGUGCGCUCUCUUCUCAUCUAUUUUUUAGAACUCUAUGGACUUGUAUGUCAUUAAUGACCAUAUCCAUAUUUGACGUGAUUCUUGGAUGUCUUGAUAUAUGUCUGAUUUGCUUGAAUAAAACAAAUGUUGUGUGCUACAUUUCUACACUAACUUUUAUGUUUUAUGAUAGCGUUUGAAGAGUGGUUCAGGUACGCACCCUAACUCUCCUUUAUUGUAAUUUGAUUGUGUUUGGCAUGUCACUCUUUAAAAUCACCUAACCUAUUUAGGUAUCUAUAAUUAACUGAUUAAUUGUCACACUUCCAUUAACUUUGUCAGUAGAGACCUUUAAAGGGCUUAGAGGGGUGCUACCUUUUAAAGAUACCUUCCCAAUAGGUAACCUGAUCCCCGAACUUAAACUCAGGUUUUUCAAAGACAUGCUUUUUCCAAAAAUUAUGGAGUCAUAUUUAGGGUUUUUUUUUCUUGUUUUAUUUUCCCUUUAAAAUAAAAAUAAAAUAAGUAGCGGCUUCAACUUUUUUUUAAAAAUUAAUUUUUCACAAAUAAAAAACGAGUCUCGCCGAUCGAGUGGGGGUGCACGUGAAAAAUGCGGGUCAUACAACCCCACUUGCUUUUCUCACGAUUUUAGCAAGACAUUAGUGGUUGAAUCUUUGUCCGUACAUGGCUGCUUUAUCAUCAGCCGCCCUAUGGUUUGUAGUGAUAAAUUGAUAACAUGCGGUUUGUGUACACGGCUUUAGCAAGAAAAAGGAGGAAAAUUCCACGUGGAAGUUCAUUUUUUGCCAGAAAGUCAAGCGACGACUCCACUAGUCUCCGUUGGGUGCGUUUGGUAUUUCAAGAUUAGGUACGGAUGAUCUUAUCCAACGAUUCCAACCAUCCUCCCUUUAUUUAAAAUAAGUUUUAUUCAUGUUUAAUCGAAAAAAUUAAAUAGUACCCAUCCUUUAACUUUUUUCUGAAAAUUUUUUAAAUUUUUUCACAAAAAUUUAUUUUUAAAAUUUUUUAAUUACAUUAAAAUAAGUAAACUUUAUAAAUAAUUAAAAUAUUAUAAAUUUUUAUAACUUAUUUUAUUAAAAAGCAUUUAUUAUUAUUAUUAUUAUUAUUAUUAUUAUUAUUAUUAUUAUAUUAAAAAUAAGAAAAUACAAAUUAAAUUAAAUUAAUUUUUAAAGUCAAUUAUUUGUCAUCCCUGUUUAAGCUCAAUAUGGAGUUGAUGAGUGUACUUAAUUGUAUACCAUAUGUAUUUAUUACCAAUAAAAGUUUCUUAAGUAUGAUUGAAUGAAAAAGAAUUUCUACCAUAACAAAUACUUUCCUAACUUUAUAUUAAGGUUAUGUUGAAUUCCCAAAAUGUAUCAAAGAAAGAAAAAAUAUUAAGCAAAAUUAUUUUCUCAUUUUGUUGUGAUAUGAAAAAUAUAAAUAAAAAAGAUUCGAAUAUAAUUAAUACUAGUUACAAACUUAUACAUUUUCAAAUUAGUUAAUUUUUACAUUGAUAGGUUAAAAUAAAUUAAAUAAAUUUACAAUAGCAAAUAAUAUAUAAUUUGUUGACUUUGAAUCCAAUCUUUAUUUUUCUUCACUUUUUCUUUUCUUCUAUUUUUUCCCUUACAUUUUUUUUCAAAUUUUUUUAAAACCAAACAUAGUCUAAGAAUUCUUUCUUAGAGAAAAUGUAUUAUAAUAAAAUUAUUUAAAUAAGUUAUAAAAAUAUUGCUUCUUGUUGAAUGUUUAUCAUGACUUAAACCAAAAGUUGCUACUGAUUUGAAACUCAAUAUCACUAGCUCUUUCAAAUCUAUAAAAUUUGAAUUUUACGAGUGAAUUUUAAUUGUGGAUUAUAGCUAACAAAGAGUAAACCAAUGUUAUAAAAAUCUCAAAGAGUACCUCACAAUUUUAAUAUUCUCCGUUUUUCUCUUAAUUUUUUAGCAAAUACAUAAGAAACAUGCAAGGGAAAUCGUUGUUCUAAUAUGGACUUAUUUACAAAUAUGAAAUUCAUGCUCUAACUAUAUUAAAAGAAAAAUAUAAAGAAAAUUAGAGAUACAAAAACACAAUAAUAUAAUGUGGAAAUCUUUGAAGAGAUUAAAAAAAAUGCACAAAAUUUACUAUAAAAAAAAUACUAAAUACAAAUUUUACUUCAUCGAAUACUUUUAAUCCCUCUCAUGGACUACUUGAAACUUUACUUCUCAGUUUUUCAUAUAGAACUCUUUGGAAUCCUUCUAAACAUGAUUUUGGCUUAUUCCUAAUAAAGACUCUUAGUUUGACAUUAGUCAUUUUGGUACAAGCAAGUAAAUGCUCGAUGUAUCAACAUUGGGAGAAAAGGAGCUCAUGUUCAUACGGAACAACCUCCACACGAAGAAAAUAGUCAAAAGGUCCAAGGUCCUUAAGAGAAAACCGUUGGGUUUCUGUGAAAAGGUUGUGUUAUUUAUGCAGUACUUCUAACCAUAGACUCCUCAUUCACAAUAACUCUUACCAUUUCGCUUCAUGCCUUCUCUGAUGUAAAUUGGGCUAGUAAUAAGGAUGGCUUCACUUCAACAAAGUGAGUGUUUAUAUUGUUUAUCUGGGUCGCAAUCUCAUCUUAUGGAGUAAUAAGAAACAGUGUAUUAUUGUUUGUUCCUCUGCAGGAGCUGAAUAUAGGUCGAUGGCUACUACAAUUAUCAAAAUCAAUUAGGUGUGCUCUCUUCUCACUAAGCUUAGCAUUCAGCUUCCCCAAGCACUUGGGAUUUAUUGUGACAAUGUUAGUGAUAUUCAUGUUAACCAAACAUUUAUAAACUUUAUGCGGAAAUAAUUAUUUUAAAAACAAUUUUGGAUGCAUAAAACAAAAUAAAUGUAAGUACUAAAAUAAUGAUCAUAUUCUUACCUUGAUCCAUGAUACCAAUAACACUUUUAAAGUGAGAUUGAGUCACCUUGUGAAUUGGAUUGUCAAGGUUUUCAACUUACUACUCUCAUAUAAUGGAUGGGUCACUUGUGUGGUGUAUGUUGUUAAAAAUAAAACAACAAAAAAGACAUGAGAAUGAGAGUGUGGCUUGGGACCUCAACUUAUAAAAAAUUGUGCAUCUCUUAGUCUUCCCAUCAAAGACUAUAUGGGAGUUAUACUCAUUAUUUACACCCAUUAUGUACAAAUUAAUGGGUAAUGGUGGGUUAUUAACUUGAAUGCAUCUCUAUAAUUGCAUAGGUUAUACUUUUCCAUUUUCUUCCAUUACUCAUAAACAGAAUGUACCAAAUAAAUUUCAUAAUGAUGGGGUUACAAAAGUUGUAACACCACAUUCAUAUAAAUUAAAUUUUCUAACUCCCUAUUUUUAAUUUGAGUCUUUCAUACAUAAGACUCUUUAAUGCUCAAUCAAUUGAUUCACCUACCUAUCAAUUGAUACCCUUAAAUAAUAUUUACAAUGGUCACACAUUAUAGGAAAAAAACUAACAAUCUCACACUUGGCCUACAUAAUUAUAUUUGUAAUAGAUUAAAACAUAAUGUGGUCAUAACAAUUUCUCAAAAAUAAGCAUCCCUUACGUUAAGAUUAUGUUUCAUGGAACCACUAACACCAACUCAUUGAAAUGAUUGGAUCACAAAACGAUCCAAUAUUCUUCAAGGAUUAUAGUACUAGCACCUCCGUUAACAUGAAUCAAUGACUUUUAUGACAUUAGCAACAUUAAGGUGAUAAUGCUAAUUCAUUCACAUAAUGGUCCCAUCAACUUUUAAACAUUUAGAUUGUGCACAAAAUGGAUGUAUAAAAGUAACAUAAUAAUCAUCAAUAUAUCAUAAUCAAAAACUUUAUUCUCAUUAUAAUGUGAUCACAUACAUUACACUCUCAAUCAAUCUAAAAUUGACAAACUUGCCACCAAGCCCAUGCGCGCAACAUGAUCCAUAAAAAGCUUAGGUAGAAGACCUUUUGUCAAUGGAUCUACCAACAUGAGUGUAUUUUUAAUAUGUUCAAUAGAGACAACUCCAUUUUGAACUUUCUCCCUUACAACCAGAUACUUAAUAUCAAUGUGCUUCAUAGUAGGCAAUGUGAGAAAAUUACCUUCUUCCUUCUGUUUAAUUUCUGAAGAAUGAUGUGCAGAAGCCUUCGACCUUGGCUCUUCCUCAGACUCACUAUCAUCAGGGCUUGCUUCUCCAUAAUAUGCCAAGAGUGAUGUUUCCUGAUCAAAAACUUUUUUAUAACGUUUUCCUGGUACCAUCCAAUGUGAUGUUGGGUCAAUUUGAUCAUAAGGUACUGUCUCUCCAGAUCUCGGUUGUGAGAGCUAGGGAAUACUUCCACUAUCAUAUUCGAAAGGUUCAACAUAUUUAAGCAUUUCAUCCAUGACUUGAACAGGCCAGGUGUGCUUUUCUUUCUUCUCUUUUAUCUUAUUUAUGUCUUGACCCUGUCCACCACAAUAAAACACAACAUACAUUGAACCAAUAUUAGCACUUUGGAUAUGAACAGAAUAUGUGCAUAUCAUUCUAGUGUGUACAUAUAUAUAUAUGGUGAUCAUACCAACUAUAACAGCCGGCAAUGCCCAUACUUUAGCUAUAAGCUUGAUGAAGUUCUCAUAGCAAAUGCCAUAAUAAUUUGGAUGAGGCUGCUCUUGUCUUCGAGCGUUAUUUGAUUAUUUACCUGUAAAUUAAAAAGAGGUUUGGAGUAUUCUCAGAGCAAGACUCUUACACUAGUGUUCAUUUGGGAUAUAAGUAGCACACAAAUUGAGAACCCAAAAAAUAAAUAAAUAAAGGUUCUCAAAAGAAAACAUUUAUGGACUAAUUAAACUUGGUUGAUUAGGUGAUACAAGCAAGAAAUUUAUUGGAAGAUAUAUCUCAAGCUCAAUAAAUUAAUGAUUUAAUUUGUACUCAAUAAAUUUAUGGUUCUAAAAAAAAGUGCUCAAUCAAUUAAAGUUUAACCAGAUUGUCUAGAAUUGAACUUUUCAUCCUAAUUUGCUCUUGAGCUGAAUUCAAGAAGGUUCUGGAUUUACUUAUUAGCCCAAUGCAAAUUCAUGAGUAACUAUCUGGUCGAAGUCUCAUAUGCAUAACUAAAAUGAUGAAUUAAUAUGGGAAUCACUUAACCCACCUGAUGCUUUGAUCAUGUUCCAUAAGUUGGUUAAUAUAUAGAAAUUCUCUGUAUGGUUAGGGUUCUCGGCAGCUUCAUAUUUCUGUGGAAGGAGCUUUUUGACAGGCACACCUUGCAAAAUAACAUUGGAAUGAAACAUUUUCACAUAGUAAACUAAUACAUGAUUGCCCUAAAAUUAUCCUACAAAAACCUUCAUUGAAAAAUAGAUAUGGGAUUCUCAAUUGCUUCAAGGCAAGUGAUUUAUGGAUGUGCUUCUCUCACGCACACCCUAGGCUAGAUUUGUGAAUAAAAACUGUUAUUAUAAUAUAGUUUAGAUUAUUAUAUAAAUUACAGGUAAAUAAUGACUUAGGAUAAUGGGGUAGAUGACUUUAAACAAUAAAUAUCAAACAUAGAGCAUGAAGUAGAUCUGCAUCAGGCAUUGAUCGGCUGGCUGUCGUCACUGGCCCUGAAAAUUAGAUAUCAAAACCUGUGGGCAGCCCUAGGUUCCAAUUCAGCGACUCCUAUGUCACAACUUUACAAGUUUAUUGGAAAUCCUUUAGUCAGUGGAAGGAUACUUACAAAGAUAAAUGAUUUCGUUGAACCAAUUCAGUCGAGUUCCGCUUCUGAAUAAAGUAGCCUUAGAAGCAAGGAGGUGGAGAGGGGAGAUUCCUCUCUCAUCGACAUAAUUGACGAGGUCAGGAUACUCGUGAAUAAUUGUAAAUGCCAAAUCUAUCAUGCACAACAAUGAAAAUGUUAUAUAAAUAAAAGCAUGAGCCUUUCGUUAUAUAUAUAUAUAUAUAUCAAUUGGUCAAUUCUGUUGAAAUGAUAACAUUAUAACAAAUGUAUAAAACACAAAUGAAAAUAGAAAAUAUGUUACCCUAAGUUAUAAGGCAUGAAGCAAAUAGAUUAUCUAUUCCUAUCGAUGUUCAGAUGAAUGAAUAGAAAACAAUAAAUAGGGCCUGAAAGCAUUGCUCACCGAAGUAUUCUCCGGUGAUGGCACAGUGAAGACUAUUUUCUCCAUCACUCCUCCGAAGGUACUCAUACACUUUGUUGUUAGCAGUACUGCUACAUAUGUUAGAGAGGCAAAGGAAAGCGUCUUUCAUACCAUGGAGAGCUGCUAAGAAGAGAGGGGUCUCAUUUUCAUUGUUGCGAACACCCACCAGUUCUGGAUACUCAGCAGCUAUGCACUUGCACAUGCGAACGUUGCCUACUGACGCCGCCAAAUGGAGAGGGGUGUUCCCUCGAUCAUUUUUUAUAUUAAUCAGAUACACGUUGCGAUGGGCCAUCAGUUGGACUAGUUUUACCACUACAUCUUCUCUGCCAUCUGAUACUGCUAUAUGCAAUGCCGUGUCCCCUGAUGUAGCGGUCUUCUCAUCAUGAGCCCACGGAUCUUCCUUGCAUAUAUCUACAACUUUUUCCCAUUUCCCUUGCAUGGCAUAUGAAAUCAAGCUUGGUCCAGUGGCCCCUUGUUCUGUGUCCACGACAAAUGCCAUUCUUCCUCUUCUUAGAACAACUACUACUGUUCUAUUGCUGAAGGUACCAAGGAUGAUUAUUGUAUAUGUAGAGCAAACAAGCUGUCCCAACUGUGGCAAGCCACCAUAAACUGAAAGUGAUACCUUGCUCUGGAUUCGGGAUGAGCACAAUUUUAUGGACCCCAAAAAGAGAACAUCCAUGUUUCAUUAUCCUCUUAACUAUCAUAUUUUAAAAUUUUAUUUAGAAAAUUUGAAAAAAUAAAAAUGGGAUAUUUAAAACGCAUCAAAUUACUUUUUAAUUGUGAAUGACUCAUUCAAUUAUAAUACUGAUGAAUAAAGUAAAGCUAAACUCUUGCACAGAAGGACAUUCUUUUCAAUGAAUUCAAGGAAAGAAUAAUUGAGGAAUAAAGUAAAAUCUAGUGAGAGGAUCUCUAUCUGGCAACAAAAACUCAAGGAAAGUAUCAUCUUGAGGAAAUUAAAAUAAAGAAAAGAAUAAAUAAUGAGUAAAAUAAGAGAAAAAUUAUUUUGAGAUUAAUUAAAAUUUUGAAAAAUGAAAGAGAUGUGUUUUUGCAUAUAAACAUUUCAACAAUUGAAAACCAAUAAGCCACGAUGGCUGAAAUAAGGCUACAUAAAAUCAUGCAAAAAGAUGAUGGUUUUCAAUAAACCAACUCAAGGGAGCACUGUAUCUAUCUAGGAAUGAAGUUAAAUCUGUGCUAAUAGAGAUUUUUCUCAACUAGCGCAAGAAAAGCAUAAGGAAAAACUCAAAACACAUAUAUUCAUACCUAAAAAAAUAAAUAAAUAAAUCCCUGAUCUUCCUUUUCCCUGGGGCAUCUUGCUUUUUGUAAGCAAGGUUUAUAAUGGCUCAAUUCAAUUGUAACCACAAAUUCAAUAGUCCAUCAUAUCAUUUAAUCACAUAACAUUUAAUAUAGAAGAAGACACUUGUACAUAAACUUAAUAUCAAUAAAAUCUCUUCUCACCAUCACUAAGAAGAAACCACCCGCUAAAACAUGGAAUCCACAAGCCCAAAACAACGAAGUCAAAUCUAUGUAAGGCAAAACAUUAGAGAGGAGCCACCUUGUAGCUUCGCUGUGGCACCUUCUUAAAAGUGGCCCACAUAAGAUCGAAGUACAGAGGAAACUGUGCCACGGCAAAGAAGAUUACUGGAAGGCAGGUUACUGCAUAUACAAGAAUGGCAGUGUAUUGCAGUUUAUCCAUAAGGACAAAGUAAUGUCCGGCACAGAAAGAGAUUAGCAUCGAAGCUAUGGACACAAAGAGCGAUGUCAAGCCUACUAGAAGUUUCCUUGGCAAGUAGAUGCGAAAAUCUCUCUCUUGGUAUCGAGAGGUUAGAAUGGCAAGAAACAUGAUCACAGCAUUGACUGAGAAACAAAGCGCAACAAGAGAAGAUAUGGCAAAAAUGUCAAAUGCCGGCUCGUCUUCUAGCGUCGGUGUUCCAACUUUUUCUUUCACCCCACCUGGCACAGUGGAAGACGUUGCAAAGGCCACGGUUGCAAUGAGGGCUGCCACCACGGAGCAUGACUCAGAGGUUUUGAACAGCCAUUCACCACCAGCUUGGACAAGAUCCAUGUGUUUCUCGGUGAAGAUAUCCUUUGCAGUCUCACCCUUCUGGUUGCAGCGUACAAAGAAAUGUUGUGGCACGGACCUCUUAACAAACUGCAUAGUUCAAAGUUCAAAUUAACAAGGAAAAGGAAGAGUUCUUCAUAAGUUUCUCCAUCCGUUUUCUUUUUUUCUAUAUAGCAAUAUAUCAUAUAAUUUUACAAAAUUAAAAACAUUUACGCAUUUUGUCUGAUCAUAACUUUAAAUAUUCUAAUUAAUUUUCUUAAGAAUCUGGUAUUACUCGAUUAUCUAGAAUGAUGCAGCCAACAGAAUGUAAACUUCUGAACCUCACAUUGUUCAGGCAAGCAUUUCAACCACAAUUAGUAGUGUCCCUGAGAGUAGCAGGUUUAGGGUUUAAUCCUUCUACCCCAAUAUAUCGUACCCUUCAGUUCUUAUGGUCUACACCAUUUAAAAUGGAAAGUUAAUGCUGAAAUCAUAAUGGAUAAUUGCAUACCUCGUACCACUUUAUUUCCCACUGCAUCUGCAAAGCGGCACCAGGUAUAAGCCAAGGCUUAUUCUCUCCAAGCAUUGCAGCCAGAUGUAGUGCACUAUUGCCAUCUAUGUCCACGUGCCGAAACACGGCGUCUUUGAGGACUUUUCUUUUGACUAACAGCUCAUAAACAUGGGGUUGCCUGUACUCCACUGCCAACAACACAAUGUUCUUUUUUUGGUAAUCCUUGUCAUGGAUGGCCACUGGAAAAAGUUCUAGAAUUCUCUCCACAAUUUCCACCACACCAUUCUUUGCUGCAACUAAUAAGGGUGUCUCUUUUCUCUCCAUUUCCGAUGGUUUCUUCUUAUCUGCCAACAUCAGAUGAUUAAAUUUUAUUUAUUAAGAAAUUCUGACCACAUAAUGGAUGACAAGUAUUCGAUCAAAGAUAAAACUCUUGCCAAGAAUAAAUAUAAUUGCUAGAGAUAACUGUUACCUUGUUCAUUUUUCUUAUUUUUACCAUUGUCAUUCUGUUUUCGCUGAGCUUCUGGUGAGCUUUGAUCUGCGGGAGCUCCUUUAUCUUCACCCUGUUGAUUAGUUGCUGAAGAAGGUUGAGCUGCUGUGCCUCCCGGUAGAUGCUGACUUUCUAAGGUGUUGUCAAAAGAAACACCAUGAUCAUCCGAGAUGCUAUAAGGUGUUGUGUCAGCAUCCUUCUUCUGUGAUGGUUGUUGAGGAUUUCUUCCAUUAUCUUCGUACUCAUAAAAAGAAGCAUGACAAAGAAGUUCAUCCA